rnacentral:lncRNA from 1 species
CUAGGCACUCACGAGGCUGGCUGUGGCAAGUGUAAGUGAAAGCAACACGCACUGGCAGGAAGAACAGCAAACGCCGAUGAAGGAAAAGGGUCUUUGCAGUGAUGGGCGUUACCAGAGAGGGCGAUGGCCAGAGGACACAAAUGGGACGGGGAGGCAGCGCGUUGGGGGGGGGACGCGACACAGCUCGGGCCCGCCAGUGCCCCAACGGGGUCCUAGUUCUUCUUCUUCUUAUUAUUAUUUUUCUGCCCCUUUGAACUGGAAAAUGGCCCACUUCCCACUGGUGAAAACUCAUGAAAUUUGGCAGGACGACCGGGCCUGGUGAAAAAUUCGAUAUUCUGAAGUCACCCAAACAAUCAAAUGCAAAAUGGCUCCAUAGCGCCCCCUAAGGUGAAAAAUUCACAUGAUUGAGUGUCACGCCUGUACGCUUUGUCAAAAUGACACAAAAUUUGACACACACGUGUAUCUCAAUAAGAUCUACAAAAAAGUCAGUGCGGGCGUGUCUGUCAAAUGUACGUUUAAAGGGCUAUUUCGCAUUUUUUGCCGAUCCGCACACAUUGGAAUUUCGCUAACUCCUCCGAAGGCUUUCGUUCCACCGGCACCAAAUUUGCUCAGGCCAAUCUAACCCCCAUGGCCAUUCAAAGUUGUACAAAUCCUGACGCUGCACCCCACGGUUUAGGUUCUAGGGGGCGCCAAAGAUAACCCAAAAAUCCACAUUCUUACAAGUCUUAUAACUUUUUAUUUCUGUCCUCACUGGCCUCCAAGUUUUCUAGGAUGAUGCAAUGUCCAGCCAUCAACACAUUUGUGAAGGAAUUUUUACUCGCCAAAAGAGCGCCCCCCAUGGCAGGAGAAAAAAGUCCAUUUUUUCUUGUCUCCUAAGGCGAAAAUUCACACUAUUGACUGUCACGCCUUUACGCUUUGUCAAAAUGACACAAAAUUUGACACACACAUGUAUCUCAAUAAGAUCUACAAAAAAGUCAGUGCGGGCGUAUCUGUCAAAUGUACGGUUAAAGGGUUAUUCCGCAUUUUUUGCCGAUCCGCACACAUUGGAAUUUCGCUAACUCCUCCGAAGGCUUUCGUUCCACCGGCACCAAAUUUGCUCAGGCCAAUCUAACCCCCAUGGCCAUUCAAAGUUGUACAAAUCAUGACGCUGCACCCCACGGUUUAGGUUCUAGGGGGCGCCAAAGAUAACCCAAAAAUCCACAUUCUUACAAGUCUUAUAACUUUUUAUUUCUGUCCUCACUGGCCUCCAAGUUUUCUAGGAUGAUGCAAUGUCCAGCCAUGAACACAUUUGUGAAGGAAUUUUUACUCGCCAAAAGAGCGCCCCCCAUGGCAGGAGAAAAAAGUCCAUUUUUUCUUGUCUCCUAAGGCGAAAAUUCACACUAUUGACUGUCACGCCUUUACGCUUUGUCAAAAUGACACAAAAUUUGACACACACAUGUAUCUCAAUAAGAUCUACAAAAAAGUCAGUGCGGGCGUAUCUGUCAAAUGUACGGUUAAAGGGUUAUUUCGCAUUUUUUGCCGAUCCGCACACAUUGGAAUUUCGCUAACUCCUCCGAAGGCUUUCGUUCCACCGGCCCCACAUUUGCUCAGGCCAAUCUACACCCCAUGGCCAUUAAAAGUUGUACAAAUCAUGAUGCUGCACCCCACGGUUUACGUUCUAGGGGGCGCCAAAGAUAACCCAAAUAUCCACAGUCUUAAAAGUCUUAUAACUUUUUAUUUUUGUCCUCACUGGCCUCCAAGUUCUCUAGGAUGAUGCAAUGUCCAGCCAUCAACACAUUUGUGAAGGAAUUUUUACUCGCCAAAAGAGCGCCCCCCCAUGGCAGGAGAAAAAAGUCCAUUUUUUCUUGUCUCCUAAGGCGAAAAUACACAUUGUUGACUGUCACGCCUUUACGCUUUGUCAAAAUUACACAAAAUUUGACACACACAUGUAUCUCAAUAAGAUCUACGAAAAAGUCAAUGCGAGCGUAUCUGUUCAAUGUACGGUUAAAGGGCUAUUUCGCAUUUUUUGCCGAUUCGCACACAUUGGAAUGUGGCUAACUCCUCCUAAAGCUUUUGUCCCAUCGGCUUCAAAUUUGCUCAGGUCAAUCUACACCCCAUGGCCAUUCAAAGUUGUACAAAUCAUGACGCUGCACCCCACGGUUUACGUUCUAGGGGGCGCCAAAGAUAACCCAAAAAUCCACAGUCUUAAAAGUCUUAUAACUUUUUAUUUUUGUCCUCACUGGCCUCCAAGUUUUCUAGGAUGAUGCAAUGUCUAGCCAUCAACACAUUUGUGAAGGAAUUUUUACUCCCUAAAAGAGCGCCCCCCCAUGGCAGGAGAAAAAGUCAAGUUUUUCCUGCCCAUCGCUCAAUGACUCAAACACAUCGCUCUCUCGGCAAAACCGAAAGGAGGAGCAACUUGCCAUUUGGAUAUAUCCUAGCUGUGUUUGUGCCCUCACUCAUGGUCCAGUCCUUUUCAAAUAGGACAUGGAGUUUGUCUGCGGCGACGUUUUGGUAGAAACUGCGCCUCCCAUUCAUUAUAAUUGUAAAUGACCACAGACAAGUGCGCACACCAUCUUUGGACCUUGAGUGUGACGCGAUCGGUAGGGAGAGGCGGUCGUGUUGGGGGCGGCGCGACACGGCUCGGGCCCGCCAGUGCCCCAACGGGGCCCUAGUGUUAUUAUUAGGGCCCGAGCCAGCUGCAGAGCAGCCGGGCGUAGGCCCUAUUAUUCCCCAAGUGGUUUUUCUUUGUUUCUUUCUUUCUUUCUUUCUUUAGGGCCCGAGCGUAGCUGCUAAGCAGCUGCGAGAGCCCUAUUGUUCCUGCAUGUUUCCUUCUUUUGUUAUUAUUAUUAUUAUUAUUUUUCCUCCCCUUUGAACUGGAAAAUGGCCCACUUCCCACUGGCGAAAACUCAUGAAAUUUGGCAGGACGACCGGGCCUGGUGAAAAAUUUGAUAUUCCGAAGUCGCCCAAACAAUAAAAUGCAAAAUGGCUCCAUAGCGCCCCCUAAGGUGAAAAUUCACACUAUUGACUGUCACGCGUGUACGCUUUGUCAAAAUGACACAAAAAUUGACACACACAUGUAUCUCAAUAAGAUCUACAAAAAAGUCAGUGCGGGCGUAUCUGUCAAAUGUACGGUUAAAGGGUUAUUUCGCAUUUUUUGCCGAUCCGCACACAUUGGAAUUUCGCUAACUCCUCCGAAGGCUUUCGUUCCACCGGCACCACAUUUGCUCAGGCCAAUCUACACCCCGUGGCCAUUAAAAGUUAUUCAAAUCAUGACGCUGCACCCCACAGUUUAGGUUCUAGGGGGCGCCAAAGAUAACCCUAAAAUCCACAUAUUUAAAAGUCUUAUAACUUUUUAUUUUUGUCCUCACUGGCCUCCAAGUUUUCUAGGAUGAUGCAAUGUCCAGCCAUCAACACAUUUGUGAAGGAAUUUUUACUCCCCAAAAGAGCGCCCCCCCAUGGCAGGAGAAAAAAGUCAAUUUUUUCUUGUCCCCUAAGGUGGAAAUUCACACUAUUGACUGUCACGCCUGUACGCUUUAUCAUAUUGACACAAAAAUUGACACACAUAUGUAUCUCAAUAAGAUCUACAAAAAAGUCAAUGCGCGCGUAUCUGUCAAAUGUACAGUUAAAGGGCUAUUUUGCAUUUUUUGCCGAUUCGCACACAUUGGAAUGUGGCUAACUCCUCCUAAGGCUUUCGUCCCACUGACACCAAAUUUGCUCAGGCCAAUCUACACCCCAUGGCCAUUCAAAGUUGUAAAAAUCAUGACGCUGCACCCCACGGUUUACGUUCUAGGGGGCGCCAAAGAUGACCCAAAAAUCCACAUUCUUAAAGGAAUCACACACCCCCCCCCCCCCCCCCAAGGCAGGAGAAAAAGUCAAGUUAACCCUGCCCAUCGCUCAAUGGCUCAAUCGCAUCGCUCUCCAGGCAACACCGUAAGGAGGAGCAACCCGCCAUUUCGAUAUAUCAUAGCUGUGUUUGUGCCCUCACUCAUGGUCCAGACUUUUUUCAAAUAGGACAUGAAGUUUGUCUGCAGCGAGUGUUUUGGUAGAAACUGCGCCUCCCAUUCAUUAUAAUGGGAAAUGACCACAGACAAGUGCGCACACCAUCUUUGGACCUUGAGUGUGACGCGAUCGGGAGGGGGAGGCGGUCACGUUGGGGGCGGCGCUACAGGGCUCGUGCCCGCCAGUGCCCCAACGGGGUCCUAGUGUUAUUAUUAUUAUUAUUAGGGCCCGAGCGUAGCUGCUAAGCAGCUGCGAGAGCCCUAUUAUUCCCCAAGUGGUUUUUCUUUGUUUCUUUUUAGGGCCCGAGCGUAGCUGCUAAGCAGCUGCGAGAGCCCUCUUGUUCCUGAUGGAUUCUUCUUUUGUUAUUAUUAUUAUUUUUCCUCCGCUUUAAACUGGAAAAUGGCCCACUUCCCACUGGCGAAAACUCAUGAAAUUUGGCAGGACGACCGGGCCUGGUGAAAAAUUCGAUAUUCUGAAGUCGCCCAAACAAGAAAAUGCAAAAUGGCUCCAUAGCGCCCCCUAAGGUGAAAAUUCACACUAUUGACUGUCACGCCUGUACGCUUUGUCAUAUUGACACAAAAAUUGACACACACAUGUAUCUCAAUAAGAUCUACAAAAAAGUCAGUGCGGGCGUAUCUGUCAAAUGUACGGUUAAAGGGUUAUUUUGCAUUUUUUGCAGAUCCGCACACAUUGGAAUUUCGCUAACUCCUCCGAAGGCUUUCGUUCCACCGGCACCACAUUUGCUCAGGCCAAUCUACACUCCAUGGCCAUUCAAAGUUGUACAAAUCAUAAUGCUGCACCCCAUGGUUUAGGUUCUAGGGGGCGCCAAAAAUAACCCAAAAAUCCACAUUCUUAAAAGUUUUAUAAAUUUUUUUUUUUGUCCUCACUGGCCUCCAAGUUUUCUAGGAUGAUGCAAUGUCCAGCCAUCAACACAUUUGUGAAGGAAUUUUUACUCCCCAAAAGAGCGCCCCCCCAUGGCAGGAAUAAAAAGUCCAUUUUUUCUUGUCCCCUAAGGUAAAAAUACACAUUGUUGAGUGUCACGCCUGUACGCUUUGUCGUAUUGACAAAAAAUUUGACACACACGUGUAUCUCAAUAAGAUCUACGAAAAAGUCAAUGGGCGCGUAUCUGUAAAAUGUACGGCUAAAGGGCUAUUUUGCAUUUUUUGCCGAUUCGCACACAUUGGAAUGUGGCUAACUCCUCCUAAGGCUUUCGUCCCACUGACACCAAAUUUGCUCAGGCCAAUCUACACCCCAUGGCCAUUCAAAGUUGUAAAAAUCAUGCCGCUGCACCCCAUGGUUUACGUUCUAGGGGGCGCCAAAGAUGACCCAAAUAUCCACAUUCUUAAAAGUCGUUUUGGCCACUGCAGGAGUACAGAGUACUGCAGGAUACACACACACAGACACACACACACACAGACACACACACACACACACACACACACAGACACACACACACACACUCAGAGUCUGUUUUUUAGCACCUGCAAAAACAUGCUAUUUACAUAUUUGACAACAAUGCAGAGGCUUCCUUUUGCCCCUGAAAAAAAUCAAAUUUCUAACACAACUUGACUGCUCAUUUCUCCAAAAGACAACCAUGAAGCUCCAUCCAAACCUGAAGCAGGCAGUUGGUGCAUGUGUACAGUAACCUGAGGGGAGUGAGGUGACUGCUUCUGAGGAGAACAUGAGCAGUGAAGAUUCACCUUGGAGCGAGAACAGGGACGUGCACAUGAUUAUACGGGGGCAGGGGCUCAAGUUUUUUCCAGUCGUUUAUACAAUAUGGAAAUUAAUGUGAAAUUAAAAAACAAAGUAUUAAUAGAAAGGUAAUGACUGUCCUGUGUAGGUGACAGUGAUAUCCAAUAGGCUAGGCACUCACGAGGCUGGCUGUGGCAAGUGUAAGUGAAAGCAACACGCACUGGCAGGAAGAACAGCAAACGCCGAUGAAGGAAAAGGGUCUUUGCAGUGAUGGGUGUUACCAGAGAGGACGAUGGCCAGAGGACGCGAAUGGGACGGGGAGGCAGCGCGUUGGGGGGGGGGGGGGGGGGGCGACACAGCUCGGGCCCGCCAGUGCCCCAACGGGGCCCUAGUCUUCUUAUUAUUUUUCUGCCCCUUUGAACUGGAAAAUGGCCCACUUCCCACUGGUGAAAAGUCAUGAAAUUUGGCAGGACGACCGGGCCUGGUGAAAAAUUCGAUAUUCUGAAGUCGCCCAAAAAAUCAAAUGCAAAAUGGCUCCAUAGCGCCCCCUAAGGUGAAAAAUUCACAUGAUUGAGUGUCACGCCUGUACGCUUUGUCAAAAUGACACAAAAUUUGACACACACGUGUAUCUCAAUAAGAUCUACAAAAAAGUCAGUGCGGGCGUAUCUGUCAAAUGUACGGUUAAAGGGCUAUUUCGCAUUUUUUGCCGAUCCGCACACAUUGGAAUUUCGCUAACUCCUCCGAAGGCUUUCGUUCCACCGGCACCAAAUUUGCUCAGGCCAAUCUACACCCCAUGGCCAUUAAAAGUUGUACAAAUCAUGACGCUGCAUCCCACGGUUUACAUUUUAGGGGGCGCCAAAGAUAACCCAGAAAUCCACAUUCUUAAAAGUUGUAUAACUUUUUAUUUUUGUCCUCACUGGCCUCCAAGUUUUCUAGGAUGAUGCAAUGUCUAGCCAUCAACACAUUUGUGAAGGAAUUUUUACUCCCCAAAAGAGCGCCCCCCCAUGGCAGGAGAAAAAACUCCAGUUUUUCUUCCCCCCUAAGGUGAAAAUUCACAUUAUUGAGUGUCACGCCUGUACGCUUUGUCAUAUUGAAACAAACUUUAACAAUCACGUGUUUCUCAAUAAGAUCUACGAAAUAGUCCAUGGGCGCGUAUCUGUAAAAUGUACGGUUAAAGGGCUAUUUCGCAUUUUUGGUCGAUUCGCACACAUUGGAAUGUGGCUAACUCCUCCUAAAGCUUUCGUUCCACUGACACCAAAUUUACUCAGGCCAAUCUACACCCCAUGGCCAUUCAAAGUUGUAAAAAUCAUGACGCUGCACCCCACGGUUUAUGUUCUAGGGGGCGCCAAAGAUAACCCAAAAAUCCACAUUCUUAAAUGUCUUAUAACUUUUUAUUUUUGUCCUCACUGGCCUCCAAGUUUUCUAGGAUGAUGCAAUGUCCAGCCAUCAACACAUUUGUGAAGGAAUUUUUACUCCCCAAAAGAGCGCCCCCCCAUGGCAGGAGAAAAAAGUCCAUUUUUUCUUGUCCCCUAAGGUGAAAAUACACAUUGUUGAGUGUCACGCCUGAACUCUUUGUCAUAUUGACACAAAAAUUAACAAUCAUGUGUAUCUCAAUUAGAUCUACGAAAAAGUCAAAGAGCGCGUAUCUGUAUAAUGUACGGUAAAAGGGCUAUUUUGCAUUUUUUGCCGAUUCGCACACAUUGGAAUUUCGCUAACUCCUCCGAAGGCUUUCGUCCCACUGACACCAUAGUUGCUCAGGCCAAUCUACAACCCAUGGCCAUUCAAAGUUGUACAAAUCAUGACGCUGCACCCCACGGUUUAGGUUCUAGGGGGCGCCAAAGAUAACCCAAAAAUCCACAGUCUUAAAAGUCUUAUAACUUUUUAUUUUUGUCCUCACUGGCCUCCAAGUUUUCUAGGAUGAUGCAAUGUCCAGCCAUCAACACAUUUGUGAAGGAAUUUUUACUCCCCAAAAGAGCGCCCCCCCAUGGCAGGAGAAAAAGUCAAGUUUUUCCUGCCCAUCGCUCAAUGGCUCAAACGCAUCGCUCUCUCGGCAAAACCGAAAGGAGGAGCAACUUGCCAUUUGGAUAUAUACUAGCUGUGUUUGUGCCCUCACUCAUGGUCCAGACUUUUUUCAAAAAGGACAUGGAGUUUGUCUGCAGCGAGCGUUUUGGUAGAAACUGCGCCUCCCAUUCAUUAUAAUGGUAAAUGACCACAGACAAGUGCGCACACCAUCUUUGGACCUUGAGUGUGACGCGAUCGGGAGGGGUAGGCGGUCGCACUGGGGGCGGCGCGACACGGCUCGGGCCCGCCAGUGCCCCACCGGGGCCCUAGUUCUUUCUUUAGGGCCCGAGCGUAGCUGCUAAGCAGCUGCGAGAGCCCUCUUGUUCCUGUAGUUUCCUUCUUUUGUUAUUAUUAUUAUUAGGGCCCGAGCGUAGCUGCUAAGCAGCUGCGAGAGCCCUCUUGUUCCUGAUGGAUUCUUCUUUUGUUAUUAUUAUUAUUAUUUUUCCUCCGCUUUAAACUGGAAAAUGGCCCACUUCCCACUGGCGAAAACUCAUGAAAUUUGGCAGGACGACCGGGCCUGGUGAAAAAUUCGAUAUUCUGAAGUCGCCCAAACAAUAAAAUGCAAAAUGGCUCCAUAGCGCCCCCUAAGGUGGAAAUUCACACUAUUGACUGUCACGUCUGUACGUUUUGUCAUAUUGACACAAAAAUUGACACACAUAUGUAUCUCAAUAAGAUCUACAAAAAAGUCAGUGCGGGCGUAUCUGUCAAAUGUACGGUUAAAGGGUUAUUUCGCAUUUUUUGCCGAUCCGCACACAUUGGAAUUUCGCUAACUCCUCCGAAGGCUUUCGUUCCACCGGCACCACAUUUGCUCAGGCCAGUCUACACCCCAUGGCCAUUAAAAGUUGUACAAAUCAUGACGCUGCACCCCACGGUUUAGGUUCUAGGGGGCGCCAAAGAUAACCCAAAAAUCCACAUUCUUAAAAGUCUUAUAACUUUUUAUUUUUGUCCUCACUGCCCUCCAAGUUUUCUAGGAUGAUGCAAUGUCCAGCCAUCAACACAUUUGUGAAGGAAUUUUUACUCCCCAAAAGAGCGCCCCCCAUGGCAGGAGAAAAAAGUCAAUUUUUUCUUGUCCCCUUACAUGAAAAUACACAUUGUUGAGUGUCACGCCUGAACGCUUUGUCAUAAUGACACAAAAAUUGACAAUCAUGUGUAUCUCAAUUAGAUCUACGAAAAAGUCAAAGGGCGCGUAUCUGUAUAAUGUACGGUUAAAGGGCUAUUUCGCAUUUUUUGCCGAUCCGCACACAUUGGAAUGUGGCUAUCUCCUCCUAAGGCUUUCGUCCCACUGAUACCAAAUUUGCUCAGGGCAAUCUACACCCCAUGCCCAUUCAAAGUUGUAAAAAUCAUGACGCUGCACCCCACGGUUUACGUUCUAGGGGGCGCCAAAGAUGACCCAAAAAUCCACAUUCUUAAAAGUCAUUUUGGCCACUGCAGGAGUACAGAGUACUGCAGUUCUAGGGGGCGCCAAAGAUGACCCAAAAAUCCACAUUCUUAAAAGUCUUUUUGGCCACUGCAGGAGUACAGAGUACUGCAGGAUACACACACAUAUACACACACGCCAACACACACACACACACACACACACACACACACACACACACACACACACACACACACACACACACACACACUCAGAGUCUGUUUUUUAGCACCUGCAAAAACAUGCUGUUUACAUAUUUGACAAGAAUGCAGAGGCUUCCUUUUGCCCCUGAAAAAAAUCAAAUUUCAAACACAACUUGACUGUUCAUUUCUCCAAAAGACAACCAUGAAGCUCCAUCCAAACCUGAAGCAGAUAGUUGGUGCAUGUGUACAGUAACCUGAGGGGAGUGAGGUGACUAUUUCUGAGGAGAACAUGAGCAGUGAAGAUUCACCUUGGAGCUAGAACAGGGACGUGCACAUGAUUAUACAGGGGCAGGGGCUCAAGUUUUUUCCAGUCAUUUAUACAAUAUGGAAAUUAAUGUGAAAUUAAAAAACAAAGUAUUAAUAGAAAGGUUAUGACUGUCCUGUGUAGAUGACAGUGAUAUCCAAUAGGCUAGGCACUCACGAGGCUGGCUGUGGCAAGUGUAAGUGAAAGCAACACGCACUGGCAGGAAGAACAGCAAACGCCGAUGAAGGAAAGGGUCUUUGCAGUGAUGGGCGUUACCAGAGAGGACGAUGGCCAGAGGACGCGAAUGGGACGGGGAGGCAGCGCGUUGGGGGGGGCAGCGCGACACGGCUCGGGCCCGCCAGUGCCCCAACGGGGCCCUAGUUAUUAUUUUUCCUCCCCUUUGAACUGGAAAAUGGCCCACUUCCCACUGGCGAAAACUCAUGAAAUUUGGCAGGACGACCGGGCCUGGUGAAAAAUUUGAUAUUCCGAAGUCGCCCAAACAAGAAAAUGCAAAAUGGCUCCAUAGCGCCCCCUAAGGUGAAAAUUCACACUAUUCACUGUCACGCCUGUACGCUUUGUCAAAAUGACACAAAAAUUGACACACACAUGUAUCUCAAUAAGAUCUACAAAAAAGUCAGUGCGGGCGUAUCUGUCAAAUGUACGUUUAAAGGGUUAUUUCGCAUUUUUUGCCGAUCCGCACACAUUGGAAUUUCGCUAACUCCUCCGAAGGCUUUCGUUCCACCGGCACCACAUUUGCUCAGGCCAAUCUACACCCCAUGGCCAUUAAAAGUUAUUCAAAUCAUGACGCUGCACCCCACGGUUUAGGUUCUAGGGGGCGCCAAAGAUAACCCUAAGAUCCACAUAUUUAAAAGUCUUAUAACUUUUUAUUUUUGCCCUCACUGGCCUCCAAGUUUUCUAGGAUGAUGCAAUGUCCAGCCAUCAACACAUUUGUGAAGGAAUUUUUACUCCCCAAAAGAGCGCCCCCCAUGGCAGGAGAAAAAAGUCCAUUUUUUCUUGUCCCCUAAGGUGAAAAUACACAUUGUUGAGUGUAACACCUGUACGCUUUGGCAAAAUGACACCAAAAUUGAGACACACAUGUAUCUCAAUAAGAUCUACAAAAAAGUCAAUGCGCACGUAUCUGUCAAAUGUACGGUUAAAGGGUUAUUCCGCAUUUUUUGCCGAUCCGCACACAUUGGAAUUUCGCUAACUCCUCCGAAGGCUUUCGUUCCACCGGCACCACAUUUUCUCAGGCCAAUCUACACCCCAUGGCCAUUAAAAGUUAUUCAAAUCAUGACGCUGCACCCCACGGUUUAGGUUCUAGGGGGCGCCAAAGAUAACCGUAAAAUCCACAUAUUUAAAAGUCUUAUAACUUUUUAUUUUUGUCCCCACUGGCCUCCAAGUUUUCUAGGAUGAUGCAAUGUCCAGCCAUCAACACAUUUGUGAAGGAAUUUUUACUCGCCAAAAGAGCGCCCCCCCAUGGCAGGAGAAAAAAGUCCAUUUUUUCUUGUCCACUAAGGUGAAAAUACACAUUGUUGAGUGCUACGCCUGUAUGUUUUGUCGUAUUGACACAAAAUUUUACAUACACGUGUCUUUCAAUAAGAUCUUCGAAAAAGUCAAUGGCCACGUAUCUGUAAAAUGUACGGUUAAAGGGUUAUUUCGCAUUUUUUGCAGAUUCGCACACAUUGGAAUUUCGCUAACUCCUCCGAAGGCUUUCGUUCCACCGGCACCACAUUUGCUCAGGCCAAUCUACACCCCAUGGCCAUUAAAAGUUAUUCAAAUCAUGACGCUGCACCCCACGGUUUAGGUUCUAGGGGGCGCCAAAGAUAACCCUAAAAUCCACAUAUUUAAAAGUCUUAUAACUUUUUAUUUUUGUCCUCACUGGCCUCCAUGUUUUCUAGGAUGAUGCAAUGUCCAGCCAUCAACACAUUUGUGAAGGAGUUUUUUCUCGUUAAAAGAGCGCCCCCCAUGGCAGGAGAAUAAAGUCAAGUUUUUCCUGUUCAUCAUUCAAUGGCUCAAACGCACUGCUCUCUCGGCAAAAGCGAAAGGAGGAGCAACUUGCCAUUUGGAUAUAUCUUAGCUGUGUUUGUGCCCUCACUCAUGGUCCAGACUUUUUUCAAAUAGGACAUGGACUUUUUCUGCAGCGAGCGUUUUGGUAGAAACUGCGCCUCCCGUUCAUUUUAAUGGUAAAUGACCACAAACAAGUGCGCACACCAUCUUUGGACCUUGAGUGUGACGCGAUCGGGUGGGGGAGGCGGUCGUGCUGGGGGCGGCGUGACACGGCUCGGGCCCGCCAGUGCCCCAACGGGGCCCUAGUUCUUUCUUUCUUUCUUCUUUUUCCUCCCCUUUGAACUGGAAAAUGGCCCACUUCCCACUGGCGAAAACUCAUGAAAUUUGGCAGGACGACCGGGCCUUGUGAAAAAUUCGAUAUUCUGAAGUCGCCCAAACAAAAAAAUGCAAAAUGGCUCCAUAGCGCCCCCUAAGGUGGAAAUUCACACUAUUGACUGUCACGCCUGUACGCUUUGUCAUAUUGACACAAAAAUUGACACACAUAUGUAUCUCAAUAAGGUCUACAAAAAAGUCAGUGCGGCCGUAUCUGUCAAAUGUACGGUUAAAGGGUUAUUUCGCAUUUUUUUCCGAUCCGCACACAUUGGAAUUUCGCUAACUCCUCCGAAGGCUUUCGUUCCACCGGCACCACAUUUGCUCAGGCCAAUCUACACCCCGUGGCCAUUAAAAGUUAUCAAAAUCAUGACGCUGCACCCCAAGGUUUAGGUUCUAGGGGGCGCCAAAGAUAACACUAAAAUCCACAUAUUUAAAAGUCUUAUAACUUUUUAUUUUUGUCCUCACUGGCCUCCAAGUUUUCUAGGAUGAUGCAAUGUCCAGCCAUCAACACAUUUGUGAAGGAAUUUUUACUCCCCAAAAGAGCGCCCCCCAUGGCAGGAGAAAAAAGUCCAUUUUUUCUUGUCCCCUAAGGUGAAAAUACACAUUGUUGAGUGUCACGCCUAUACGCUUUGUCAAAAUGACACAAAAAUUGACACACACAUGUAACUCAAUAAGAUCUACGAAAAAGUCAACGCACGCGUAUCUGUCAAAUGUACGGUUAAAGGGUUAUUCCGCAUUUUUUGCCGAUCCGCACACAUUGGAAUGUGGCUAACUCCUCCUAAGGCUUUCGUUCCACCGGCACCACAUUUGCUCAGGCCAAUCUACACCCCAUGGCCAUUAAAAGUUAUUCAAAUCAUGACGCUGCACCCCACGGUUUAGGUUCUAGGGGGCGCCAAAGAUAACACUAAAAUCCACAUAUUUAAAAGUCUUAUAACUUUUUAUUUUUGUCCUCACUGGCCUCCAAGUUUUCUAGGAUGAUGCAAUGUCCAGCCAUCAACACAUUUGUGAAGGAAUUUUUACUCCCCAAAAGAGCGCCCCCCCAUGGCAGGAGAAAAAAGUCCAUUUUUUCUUGUCCCCUAAGGUGAAAAUACACAUUGUUGAGUGUCACGCCUAUUCGCUUUGUCAAAAUGACACAAAAAUUGACACACACAUGUAACUCAAUAAGCUCUACGAAAAAGUCAAUGCGCGCGUAUCUGUCAAAUGUACGGUUAAAGGGUUAUUCCGCAUUUUUUUCCGAUCCGCACACAUUGGAAUUUCGCUAACUCCUCCGAAGGCUUUCUGUCCACCGGCACCACAUUUGCUCAGGCCAAUCUACACCCCAUGGCCAUUCAAAGUUAUUCAAAUCGCAACUAUUCAAAUCAUAACUCUGGUUUUAUUUGGCCUAUCAACACAAUUUAAAAACUGGUAUAUAGGUUGAGGUCCUCACUUUUGAGAUAAGUUGAAACGGAGAGUCAACGAGGCUCCGUCUUGCAGCUACAUCCGGUUAAAUAUGUCAUGUGACUUGAACGCACACACAGACACACACACACAGACACACACACACACGCACACACACACACACACACACACACACUCAGAGUCUGGUUUUUAGCACCUGCAAAAACAUGCUAUUUACAUAUUUGACAAAAAUGCAGAGGCUCCUUUUGCCCCUGAAAAAAAUCAAAUUUCAAACACAACUUGACUGGUCAUUUCUCCAAAAGACAACCAUGAAGCUCCAUCCAAACCUGAAGCAGGCAGUUGGUGCAUGUGUACAGUAACCUGAGGGGAGUGAGGUGAGUGCUUCUGAGGAGAACAUGAGCAGUGAAGAUUCACCUUAGAGCUAGAACAGAGACCUGCACAUGAUUAUACAGGGGCAGGGGCUCAAGUUUUUUCCAGUCGUUUAUACAAUAUGGAAAUUAAUGUGAAAUUAAAAAACAAAGUAUUAAUAGAAAGGUAAUGACUGUCCUGUGUAGGUGACAGUGAUAUCCAAUAGGCUAGGCACUCACGAGGCUGGCUGUGGCAAGUGUAAGUGAAAGCAACACGCACUGGCAGGAAGAACAGCAAACGCCGAUGAAGGAAAAGGGUCUUUGCAGUGAUGGGCGUUACCAGAGAGGGCGAUGGCCAGAGGACACAAAUGGGACGGGGAGGCAGCACGUUGGGGGGGGACGCGACACGGCUCGGGCCCGCCAGUGCCCCAACGGGGUCCUAGUCUUCUUCUUAUUAUUUUUCUGCCCCUUUGAACUGGAAAAUGGCCCACUUCCCACUGGUGAAAACUCAUGAAAUUUGGCAGGACGACCGGGCCUGGUGAAAAAUUCGAUAUUCUGAAGUCACCCAAACAAUCAAAUGCAAAAUGGCUCCAUAGCGCCCCCUAAGGUGAAAAAUUCACAUGAUUGAGUGUCACGCCUGUACGCUUUGUCAAAAUGACACAAAAUUUUACACACACGUGUAUCUCAAUAAGAUCUACAAAAAAGUCAGUGCGGGCGUAUCUGUCAAAUGUACGUUUAAAGGGCUAUUUCGCAUUUUUUGCCGAUCCGCACACAUUGGAAUUUCGCUAACUCCUCCGAAGGCUUUCGUUCCACCGGCACCAAAUUUGCUCAGGCCAAUCUACACCCCAUGGCCAUUCAAAGUUGUACAAAUCAUGACGCUGCACCCCAUGGUUUACGUUGUAGGGGGCGCCAAAGAUAACCCAAAAAUCCACAUUCUUACAAGUCUUAUAACUUUUUAUUUCUGUCCUCACUGGCCUCCAGGUUUUCUAGGAUGAUGCAAUGUCCAGCCAUCAACACAUGUGCGAAGGAAUUUUUACUCCCUAAAAGAGUGCCCCCCCAUGGCAGGAGAAAAAAGGCCAUUUUUUCUUGUCCUAUAAGGUGAAAAUACACAUUGUUGAGUGUCACGCCUGUACGCUUUGUCAUAUUGAAACAAAAUUUGAUAAUCACGUGUAUCUCAAUAAGAUCUACGAAAAAGUCAAUGCGCACGUGUCUGCAAAAUGUACGGUUAAAGGGCUAUUUCGCAUUUUUGGUUGAUUCGCACACAUUGGAAUGUGGCUAACUCCUCCUAAAGCUUUCGUUCCACCGGCACCAAAUUUGCUCAGGCCAAUCUACACCCCAUGGCCAUUAAAAGUUGUACAAAUCAUGAUGCUGCACGCCACGGUUUACGUUCUAGGGGUCGCCAAAGAUAACCCAAAAAUCCACAUUCUUAAAAGUCUUAUAACUUUUCAUUUUUGUCCUCACUGGCUUCAAAGUUUUCUAGGAUGAUGCAAUGUCCAGCCAUCAACACAUUUGUGAAGGAAUUUUUUCUCCCUAAAAGAGUGCCCCCCCAUGGCAGGAGAAAAAAGUCCAUUUUUUCUUGUCCCCUAAGGUGAAAAUACACAUUGUUCAGUGUCACGCCUCUACGCUUUGGCAAAAUGACACAAAAAUUGACACACACAUGUAUCUCAAUAAGAUCUACGAAAAAGUCAAUGUGCGCGUAUCCGUCAAAUGUACGGUUAAAGGGUUAUUCCACAUUUUUUGCCGAUCCGCACACAUUGGAAUUUCGCUAACUCCUCCGAAGGCUUUCGUUCCACCGGCACCAAAUUUGCUCAGGUCAAUCUACACCCCAUGGCCAUUAAAAGUUGUACAAAUCAUGACGCUGCACCCCAGGGUUUAGGUUCUAGGGGGCGCCAAAGAUAACCCAAAUAUCCACAUUUUUAAAAGUCUUAUAACUUUAUUUUUGUCCUCACUGGCCUCCAAGUUUUCUAGGAUGAUGCAAUGUCCAGCCAUCAGCACAUGUGCGAAGGAAUUUUUACUCCCCAAAAGAGCGCCCCCCAUGGCAGGAGAAAAAAGUCCAUUUUUUCUUGUCCCCUAAGGUGAAAAUUCACACUAUUGAGUGUCACGCCUGUACGCUUCGUCAUAUUGACACAUAAUUUGACAAUCACGUGUAUCUCAAUAAGAUCUACGAAAAAGUCAGUGCGGGCAUAUCUGUCAAAUGUACGGUUAAAGGGUUAUUCCGCAUUUUUUGCCGAUCCGCACACAUUGGAAUUACGCUAACUCCUCCUAAAGCUUUCGUUCCACCGGCACCAAAUUUGCUCAGGCCAAUCUACACCCCAUGGCCAUUAAAAGUUGUACAAAUCAUGAUGCUGCACCCCACGGUUUAGGUUCAAGGGGGCGCCAAAGAUUACCCAAAUAUCCAUAUUCUUAAAAGUCUUAUAACUUUUUAUUUUUGUCCUCACUGGCCUCCAAGUUUUCUAGGAUGAUGCAAUGUCCAGCCAUCAACACAUUUGUGAAGGAAUUUUUCUCCCCAAAAGAGCGCCCCCCCAUGGCAGGCGAAAAAGUCAAGUUUUUCCUGCCCAUUGCUCAAUGGCUCAAACAUCGCUCUCUCGGCAAAACCGAAAGGAGGAGCAACUUGACAUUUGGAUAUAUACUAGCUGUGUUUCUGCCCUCACUCAUGGUCCAGACUUUUUUCAAAUAGGACAUGGAGUUUUUCUGCAGCGAGCAUUUUGGUAGAAACUGCGCCUCCCAUUCAUUAUAACGGUAAAUGACCACAGACAAGUGCACACACCAUCUUUCGACCUUGAGUGUGACGCGAUCAGGAGGGGGAGGCGGUCGCGCUGGGGGCGGUGCGACAUGGCUCGGGCCCGCCAGUGCCCCAACGGGGCCCUAGUUAUUAUUAUUUUUCCUCCCCUUUGAACUGGAAAAUGGCCCACUUCCCACUGGCGAAAACUCAUGAAAUUUGGCAGGACGACCGGGCCUGGUGAAAAAUUUGAUAUUCCGAAGUCGCCCAAACAAGAAAAUGCAAAAUGGCUCCAUAGCGCCCCCUAAGGUGAAAAUUCACACUAUUGACUGUCACGCCUGUACGCUUUGUCAAAAUGACACAAAAAUUGACACACACAUGUAUCUCAAUAAGAUCUACAAAAAAGUCAGUGCGGGCGUAUCUGUCAAAUGUACGGUUAAAGGGUUAUUUUGCAUUUUUUGCCGAUCCGCACACAUUGGAAUUUCGCUAACUCCUCCGAAGGCUUUCGUUCCACCGGCACCACAUUUGCUCAGGCCAAUCUACACCCCAUGGCCAUUAAAAGUUAUUCAAAUCAUGACGCUGCACCCCACGGUUUAGGUUCUAGGGGGCGCCAAAGAUAACCCUAAAAUCCACAUAUUUAAAAGUCUUAUAACUUUUUAUUUUUGCCCUCACUGGCCUCCAAGUUUUCUAGGAUGAUGCAAUGUCCAGCCAUCAACACAUUUGUGAAGGAAUUUUUACUCCCCAAAAGAGCGCCCCCCCAUGGCAGGAGAAAAAAGUCCAUUUUUUCUUGUCCCCUAAGGUGAAAAUUCACACUAUUGACUGUCACGCCUGUACGCUUUGUCAAAAUGACACAAAAAUUGACACACACAUGUAUCUCAAUAAGAUCUACAAAAAAGUCCAUGCGCGCGUAUCUGUCUAAUGUACGGUUAAAGGGUUAUUUCGCAUUUUUUGCCGAUCCGCACACAUUGGAAUUUCGCUAACUCCUCCGAAGGCUUUCGUUCCACCGGCACCACAUUUGCUCAGGCCAAUCUACACCCCAUGGCCAUUAAAAGUUAUUCAAAUCAUGACGCUGCACCCCACGGUUUACGUUCUAGGGGGCGCCAAAGAUAACCCAAAAAUCCACAUUCUUAAAAGUCUUAUAACUUUUUAUUUUUGUCCUCACUGGCCUCCAAGUUUUCUAGGAUGAUGCAAUGUCCAGCCAUCAACACAUUUGUGAAGGAAUUUUUACUCCCCAAAAGAGCGCCCCCCCAUGGCAUGAGAAAAAAGUCCAUUUUUUCUUGUCCCCUAAGGUGAAAAUACACAUUGUUGACUGUCACGCCUGUACCCUUUGGCAAAAUGACACAAAAAUUGACAAUCAUGUGUAUCUCAAUUAGAUCUACGAAAAAGUCAAAGAGCGCGUAUCUGUAUAAUGUACGGUAAAAGGGCUAUUUUGCAUUUUUUGCCGAUUCGCACACAUUGGAAUUUCGCUAACUCCUCCUAAGGCUUUCGUCCCACUGACACCAAAUUUGCUCAGGCCAAUCUACACUCCAUGGCCAUUCAAAGUUGUAAAAAUCAUGACGCUGCACCCCACGGUUUACGUUUUAGGGGGCGCCAAAGAUGACCCAAAUAUACAUUACAGUAGACAAAGUAGUUUUGCCCACUGAGUGGCGCCAAAGGGACUUGUCUGUGGAGUCUGUGAGUCACUAUUGGCCGUUUUUGACUACUUUAGAUUUUACCUUUAUAUUUCCUCUUACAAAAUUUUUACCUUGCCUUGCCUGGUAUCAUUUUUUUCAGCACAACCUCACCUGUGUCAAUUUACAGUUAUUUUAUCAUUUUGACAUACUAUAUUUAAACAUUGGACCCAAAUUCACACACAAAACAUAAAAUCCGAGUGGAAAAAAGUAACGUUUUUACUGUGAAAACCACAAAUAUGUGUGAUGAACUGUUUUUAAAACUUAAACUUCAAAUAAAAAUUGUAAACUUCAAAACAUAUGCAAAUUUUUAACAAAGAACAUAGUAAUUUACCUCUAUUGUCAUCAAAAUGCAGGCAAUGGCCCAGGUGUUCUUUGUAAAAUUAUUUACAAAACACUGUAUAGUCUCACAAAUGUCACUUUUUAUUUAUGCCACUACAAAAAAACAUGAUGUAAAUGAUGCAUGAUGUAAAACAUGAUGUAAAAAACUUGUGUAGAUCCUCCUCUAUGUUAGUCCAUGUGUAAUUUUUCCAUAAUUCUUUGUUUUUUGCAGCAUUUUUGUUAGUGUAACUGCAGAUUGUGCUGACAGUGUCUAUGGCAAAAAAAAAAAAAAAAAAACUGAAAAUGCCUCAACAUGAACCCCUGGUGGUCUCUGAGGGUGAAACCUGCUAACUGCUGCAGCUCUGUCAGCUUCAGUCUCCCAUGCAGAGCUCGGAGCGCAUGUGUGGCUCUGCACCCUUAGCAGCGUUGCUAACUCCUCAGUAAGGAAAGCCUGCUUCAUGUCAGAGUCUCUAAACUCCAGAAGAAGUCGAUAAAAGUCACUUUCUUUCUAAAAAAAAGUCGUUAGGGGGUCUGAAAAGUCAUUGAAUCUAACAACAAAGUCGCUAGGUUUGCAACUACGUGUCCCAGACUGCAUCCCUGCUGAGAGUCCCUCCCUCCCUUCUCAUAUUGCAGGAAGAACGUAAGUUCCCGCCCCUUGUCAAUCAGUCACCAUAUAAUUUUGGAUUGGUUGUUGUGGUGAAGUUUUCCACCAAUAGGAGAGAUGUUGUGGUGUGUAUUUUUUUUCCUUUGGCAAGCCUUUUCCGCCUGUAAGACCUGUCGCUAAUGUCUGCAUGCUAUGUUUUCCUGUCUCAUACAGCGCGAUCGAGCGCCGAACGUGAUCAAAAUAAGCAGAAAACAAGUAUCGCGGACAUAAUUUAUCAUAACUCUGGUUUUAUUUGGCCUAUCAACACAAUUUAAAAACUGGUAUAUAGGUUGAGGUCCUCACUUUUGAGAUAAAUUGAAACGGAGAGUCAACGAGGCUCCGUCUUGCAGCUACAUCCGGUUAAAUAUGUCAUGUGACUUGAACGCACACACACAGACACACACACACACAGACACACACACUCAGAGUCUGUUUUUUAGCACCUGCAAAAACAUGCUAUUUACAUAUUUGACAAGAAUGCAGAGGCUUCCUUUUGCCCCUGAAAAAAAUCAAAUUUCUAACACAACUUGACUGGUCAUUUCUCCAAAAGACAACCAUGAAGCUCCAUCCAAACCUGAAGCAGGCAGUUGGUGCAUGUGUACAGUAACCUGAGGGGAGUGAGGUGACUGCGUCUGAGGAGAACAUGAGCAGUGAAGAUUUACCUUAGAGCUAGAACAGAGACGUGCACAUGAUUAUACAGGGGCAGGGGCUCAAGUUUUUUCCAGUCGUUUAUACAAUUUGGAAAUUAAUGUGAAAUUAAAAAACAAAGUAUUAAUAGAAAGGUAAUGACUGUCCUGUGUAGGUGACAGUGAUAUCCAAUAGGCUAGGCACUCACGAGGCUGGCUGUGGCAAGUGUAAGUGAAAGCAACACGCACUGGCAGGAAGAACAGCAAACGCCGAUGAAGGAAAAGGGUCUUUGCAGUGAUGGGCGUUACCAAAGAGGGCGAUGGCCAGAGGACACAAAUGGGACGGGGAGGCAGCGUGUUGGGGGGGGGACGCGACACAGCUCGGGCCCGCCAGUGCCCCAACGGGGUCCUAGUUAGGGCCCGAGCGUAGCUGCUAAGCAGCUGCGAGAGCCCUCUUGUUCCUGAUGGAUUCUUCUUUAGGGCCCGAGCGUAGCUGCUAAGCAGCUGCGAGAGCCCUCUUGUUCCUGUAGUUUCCUUCUUUUGUUAUUAGGGCCCGAGCGUAGCUGCUAAGCAGCUGCGAGAGCACUGUUGUUCCUGAUGGAUUCUUCUUUCUUCUUCUUCUUCUUAUUAGGGCCCGAGCGUAGCUGCUAAGCAGCUGCGAGAGCACUGUUGUUCCUGAUGGAUUCUUCUUUCUUCUUUAGGGCCCGAGCGUAGCUGCUAAGCAGCUGCGAGAGCCCUAUUAUUCCUGAUGGAUUCUUCUUUCUUCUUCUUCUUCUUAUUAGGGCCCGAGCGUAGCUGCUAAGCAGCUGCGAGAGCCCUCUUGUUCCUGUAGUUUCCUUCUUUUGUUAUUAUUAGGGCCCGAGCGUAGCUGCUAAGCAGCUGCGAGAGCCCUCUUGUUCCUGUAGUUUCCUUCUUUUGUUAUUAGGGCCCGAGCGUAGCUGCUAAGCAGCUGCGAGAGCCCUCUUGUUCCUGCAUGUUUCCUUCUUUCGUUAUUAUUUUUCCUCCGCUUUAAACUGGAAAAUGGCCCACUUCCCACUGGCGAAAACUCAGGAAAUUUGGCAGGACGACCGGGCCUGGUGAAAAAUUCGAUAUUCUGAAGUCGCCCAAACAAUAAAAUGCAAAAUGGCUCCAUAGCGCCCCCUAAGGUGAAAAUUCACAUGACGGCUGUACGCUUUGUCAUAUUGACACAAAAAUUGACACACACAUGUAUGUCAAUAAGAUCUACAAAAAAGUCAGUGCGGGCGUAUCUGUCAAAUGUACGGUUAAUGGGUUAUUUUGCAUUUUUUGCAGAUCUGCACACAUUGGAAUUUCGCUAACUCCUCCGAAGGCUUUCGUUCGACCGGCACCACAUUUGCGCAGGCCAAUCUACCCCCCAUGGCCAUUAAAAGUUGUACAAAUCAUGACGCUGCACCCCACGGUUUACGUUCUAGGGGGCGCCAAAGAUAACCCAAAAUCCACAUUCGUAAAAGUCUUAUAACUUUUUAUUUUUGUCCUCACUGCCCUCCAAGUUUUCUAGGAUGAUGCAAUGUCCAGCCAUCAACACAUUUGUGAAGGAAUUUUUACUCCCCAAAAGAGCGCCCCCCAUGGCAGGAGAAAAAAGUCAAUUUUUUCUUGUCCCCUAAGGUGAAAAUACACAUUGUUGAGUGUCACGCCUAUACGCUUUGUCAUAUUGACCCAAAAUUUGACAAUCACGUGUAUCUCAAUAAGAUCUACGAAAAAGUCAAUGGGCACGUAUCUGUAAAAUGUACGGUUAAAGGGUUAUGUCGCAUUUUUUCCCGAUCCGCACACAUUGGAAUUUCGCUAACUUCUCCGAAGGCUUUCGUUCCACCGCCACCAAAUUUGCUCAGGCCAAUCUACACCCCAUGGCCAUUCAAAGUUGUACAAAUCAUGAUGCUGCACUCCACAGUUUAGGUUCUAGGGGGCGCCAAACAUAACCCUAAAAUCCACAUUCUUAAUAGUCUUAUAACUUUUUAUUUUUGUCCUCACUGGCCUCCAAGUUUUCUAGGAUGAUGCAAUGUCCAGCCAUCAACACAUUUGUAAAGGAAUUUUUACUCUCGAAAAGAGCGCCCCCCAUGGCAGGAGAAAAAAGUCAAUUUUUUCUUGUCCCCUAAGGUGAAAAAACACAUUGUUGAGUGUCACUCCUAUACGCUUUGUCAAAAUGACACAAAAUUUGACACACACGUGUAUCUCAAUAAGAUCUACGAAAAAGUCAAUGUGCACGCAUCUGUAAAAUGUACAGUCAAAGGGCUAUUUCGCAUUUUUUCCCGAUCCGCACACAUUGGAAUUUCGCUAACUCCUCCUAAGGCUUUCGUCCCACCGACACCAAAUUUGCUCAAGCAGAUCUACAUCCCAUGGCCAUUCAAAGUUGUAAAAAUCAUGACGCUGCACCCCACGGUUUACGUUCUAAGGGGCGCCAAAGAUGACCCUAAAAUCCACAUUCUUAAUAGUCUUAUAACUUUUUAUUUUUGUCCUCACUGGCCUCCAAGUUUUCUAGGAUGAUGCAAUGUCCAGCCAUCAACACAUUUGUAAAGGAAUUUUUACUCUCGAAAAGAGCGCCCCCCCAUGGCAGGAGAAAAAAGUCAAUUUUUUCUUGUCCCCUAAGGUGAAAAAACACAUUGUUGAGUGUCACUCCUAUACACUUUGUCAAAAUGACACAAAAUUUGACACACACGUGUAUCUCAAUAAGAUCUACGAAAAAGUCAAUGUGCACGCAUCUGUAAAAUGUACAGUCAAAGGGCUAUUUCGCAUUUUUUCCCGAUCCGCACACAUUGGAAUUUCGCUAACUCCUCCUAAGGCUUUCGUCCCACCGAAACCAAAUUUGCUCAAGCAGAUCUACAUCCCAUGGCCAUUCAAAGUUGUAAAAAUCAUGACUCCCCUUCGCUCUCUUCGGCAAAACCGAAAGGAGGAGCAACUUGCCAUUUGGAUAUAUACUAGCUGUGUUUCUGCCCUCACUCAUGGUCCAGACGUUUUUCAAAUAGGACAUGGAGUUUUUCUGCAGCGAGCGUUUUGGUAGAAACUGCGCCUCCCAUUCAUUAUAACGGUAAAUGACCACAGACAAGUGCACACACCAUCUUUCGACCUUGAGUGUGACGCGAUCAGGAGGGGGAGGCGGUCGCGCUGGGGGCGGUGCGACAUGGCUCGGGCCCGCCAGUGCCCCAACGGGGCCCUAGUUAUUAUUUUUCCUCCCCUUUGAACUGGAAAAUGGCCCACUUCCCACUGGCGAAAACUCAUGAAAUUUGGCAGGACGACCGGGCCUGGUGAAAAAUUUGAUAUUCCGAAGUCGCCCAAACAAGAAAAUGCAAAAUGGCUCCAUAGCGCCCCCUAAGGUGAAAAUUCACACUAUUGACUGUCACGCCUGUACGCUUUGUCAAAAUGACACAAAAAUUGACACACACAUGUAUCUCAAUAAGAUCUACAAAAAAGUCAGUGCGGGCGUAUCUGUCAAAUGUACGGUUAAAGGGUUAUUUCGCAUUUUUUGCCGAUCCGCACACAUUGGAAUUUCGCUAACUCCUCCGAAGGCUUUCGUUCCACCGGCACCACAUUUGCUCAGGCCAAUCUACACCCCAUGGCCAUUAAAAGUUAUUCAAAUCAUGACGCUGCACCCCACGGUUUAGGUUCUAGGGGGCGCCAAAGAUAACCCUAAGAUCCACAUAUUUAAAAGUCUUAUAACUUUUUAUUUUUGCCCUCACUGGCCUCCAAGUUUUCUAGGAUGAUGCAAUGUCCAGCCAUCAACACAUUUGUGAAGGAAUUUUUACUCCCCAAAAGAGCGCCCCCCCAUGGCAGGAGAAAAAAGUCCAUUUUUUCUUGUCCCCUAAGGUGAAAAUACACAUUGUUGAGUGUAACACCUGUACGCUUUGGCAAAAUGACACAAAAAUUGACACACACAUGUAUCUCAAUAAGAUCUACGAAAAAGUCAAUGCGCGCGUAUCUGUCAAAUGUACGGUUAAAGGGUUAUUCCGCAUUUUUUGCCGAUCCGCACACAUUGGAAUUUCGCUAACUCCUCCGAAGGCUUUCAUUCCACCGGUACCACAUUUGCUCAGGCCAAUCUACACCCCAUGGCCAUUAAAAGUUAUUCAAAUCAUGACGCUGCAUCCCACGGUUUAGGUUCUAGGGGGCGCCAAAGAUAACCCUAAAAUCCACAUAUUUAAAAGUCUUAUAACUUUUUAUUUUUGUCCUCACUGGCCUCCAAGUUUUCUAGGAUGAUGCAAUGUCCAGCCAUCAACACAUUUGUGAAGGAAUUUUUACUCCCCAAAAGAGCGCCCCCCCAUGGCAGGAAAAAAAAGCCAAUUUUUUCUUGUCCCCUAGGUGGAAAUUCACACUAUUGACUGUCACGCCUGUACGCUUUAUCAUAUUGACACAAAAAUUGACACACAUAUGUAUCUCAAUAAGAUCUACAAAAGAAUCGAUUCGCGCGUAUCUGUCAAAUGUACGGUUAAAGGGCUAUUUUGCAUUUUUUGCCGAUUCGCACACAUUGGAAUGUGGCUAACUCCUCCUAAGGCUUUCGUCCCACUGACACCAAAUUUGCUCAGGCCAAUCUACACCCCAUGGCCAUUCAAAGUUGUAAAAAUCAUGACGCUGCACCCCACGGUUUACGUUCUAGGGGGCGCCAAAGAUGACCCAAAAAUCCACAUUCUUCAAAGAAUCCACAUCCCCCCCCCCCCCAUAUGGCAGGAGAAAAAGUUAAGUUUUUCCUGCCCAUCGCUCAAUGGCUCAAUCGCAUCGCUCUCCAGGCAACACCGUAAGGAGGAGCAACCUGCCAUUUCGAUAUAUCAUAGCUGUGUUUGUGCCCUCACUCAUGGUCCAGACUUUUUUCAAAUAGGACAUGAAGUUUGUCUGCAGCGAGUGUUUUGGUAGAAACUGCGCCUCCCAUUCAUUAUAAUAGGAAAUGACCACAGACAAGUGCGCACACCAUCUUUGGAUCUUGAGUGUGACGCGAUCGGGAGGGGGAGGCGGUCGCACUGGGGGCGGCGCGACACGGCUCGGGCCCGACAGUGCCCCAACGGGGUCCUAGUUCUUUGUUUCUUUCUUUCUUCUUUUUCCUCCCCUUUGAACUGGAAAAUGGCCCACUUCCCACUGGCGAAAACUCAUGAAAUUUGGCAGGAUGACCGGGCCUGGUGAAAAAUUCGAUAUUCUGAAGUAGCCCAAACAAUAAAAUGCAAAAUGGCUCCAUAGCGCCCCCUAAGGUGAAAAUUCACACUAUUGACUGUCACGCCUUUACGCUUUGUCAUAUUGACACAAAAAUUGACACACACAUGUAUCUCAAUAAGAUCUACAAAAAAGUCAGUGCGGGCGUAUCUGUCAAAUGUACGGUUAAAGGGUUAUUCCGCAUUUUUUGCCGAUCCGCACACAUUGGAAUUUCGCUAACUCCUCCGAAGGCUUUCGUUCCACCGGCACCACAUUUGCUCAGGCCAAUCUACACCCCAUGGCCAUUAAAAGUUAUUCAAAUCAUGACGCUGCACCCCACGGUUUAGGUUCUAGGGGGCGCCAAAGAUAACCCUAAAAUCCACAUAUUUAAAAGUCUUAUAACUUUUUAUUUUUGACCUCACUGGCCUCCAAGUUUUCUAGGAUGAUGCAAUGUCCAGCCAUCAACACAUUUGUGAAGGAAUUUUUAAUCCCCAAAAGAGCGCCCCCCAUGGCAGGAGAAAAAAGUCAAUUUUUUCUUGUCCCCUAAGGUGAAAAUACACAUUGUUGAGUGUCACGCCUGUACGCUUUGUCAUAUUGACACAAAAUUUGACACACACAUGUAUCUCAAUAAGAUCUACGAAAAAGUCAAUGCGCGCGUAUCUGUCAAAUGUACGGUUAAAGGGUUAUUCCGCAUUUUUUGCUGAUCCGCACACAUUGGAAUUUCGCUAACUCCUCCUAAGGCUGGCGUUCCACCGGCACCAAAUUUGCUCAGGCCAAUCUACACCCCAUGGCCAUUAAAAGUUAUUCAAAUCAUGACGCUGCACCCCACGGUUUAGGUUCUAGGGGGCGCCAAAGAUAACCCUAAAAUCCACAUAUUUCAAAGUCUUAUUAGGGCCCGAGCCAGCUGCAGAGCAGCCGGGCGUAGGCCCUAUUAUUCCCCAAGUGGUUUUUCUUUGUUUCUUUCUUUAGGGCCCGAGCGUAGCUGCUAAGCAGCUGCGAGAGCCCUCUUGUUCCUGUAGUUUCCUUCUUUUGUUAUUAUUAUUAUUUUUCCUCCCCUUUGAACUGGAAAAUGGCCCACUUCCCACUGGCGAAAACUCAUGAAAUCUGGCAGGACGACCGGGCCUGGUGAAAAAUUUGAUAUUCCGAAGUCGCCCAAACAAGAAAAUGCAAAAUGGCUCCAUAGCGCCCCCUAAGGUGAAAAUUCACACUAUUCACUGUCACGCCUGUACGCUUUGUCAAAAUGACACAAAAAUUGACACACACAUGUAUCUCAAUAAGAUCUACAAAAAAGUCAGUGCGGGCGUAUCUGUCAAAUGUACGGUUAAAGGGUUAUUUCGCAUUUUUUGCCGAUCCGCACACAUUGGAAUUUCGCUAACUCCUCCGAAGGCUUUCGUUCCACCGGCACCACAUUUGCUCAGGCCAAUCUACACCCCAUGGCCAUUAAAAGUUAUUCAAAUCAUGACGCUGCACCCCACGGUUUAGGUUCUAGGGGGCGCCAAAGAUAACCGUAAAAUCCACAUAUUUAAAAGUCUUAUAACUUUUUAUUUUUGUCCCCACUGGCCUCCAAGUUUUCUAGGAUGAUGCAAUGUCCAGCCAUCAACACAUUUGUGAAGGAAUUUUUACUCGCCAAAAGAGCGCCCCCCCAUGGCAGGAGAAAAAAGUCCAUUUUUUCUUGUCCACUAAGGUGAAAAUACACAUUGUUGAGUGCUACGCCUGUAUGUUUUGUCGUAUUGACACAAAAUUUUACAUACACGUGUAUUUCAAUAAGAUCUUCAAAAAAUUCAAUGGCCACGUAUCUGUAAAAUGUACGGUUAAAGGGUUAUUUCGCAUUUUUUGCAGAUUCGCACACAUUGGAAUUUCGCUAACUCCUCCGAAGGCUUUUGUUCCACCGGCACCACAUUUGCUCAGGCCAAUCUACACCCCAUGGCCAUUAAAAGUUAUUCAAAUCAUGACGCUGCACCCCACGGUUUAGGUUCUAGGGGGCGCCAAAGAUAACCCUAAAAUCCACAUAUUUAAAAGUCUUAUAACUUUUUAUUUUUGUCCUCACUGGCCUCCAUGUUUUCUAGGAUGAUGCAAUGUCCAGCCAUCAACACAUUUGUGAAGGAGUUUUUUCUCGUUAAAAGAGCGCCCCCCCAUGGCAGGAGAAUAAAGUCAAGUUUUUCCUGUUCAUCAUUCAAUGGCUCAAACGCACUGCUCUCUCGGCAAAAGCGAAAGGAGGAGCAACUUGCCAUUUGGAUAUAUCUUAGCUGUGUUUGUGCCCUCACUCAUGGUCCAGACUUUUUUCAAAUAGGACAUGGAGUUUUUCUGCAGCGAGCGUUUUGGUAGAAACUGCGCCUCCCGUUCAUUAUAAUGGUAAAUGACCACAAACAAGUGCGCACACCAUCUUUGGACCUUGAGUGUGACGCGAUCGGGUGGGGGAGGCGGUUGCGCUGGGGGCAGCGUGACACGGCUCGGGCCCGCCAGUGCCCCAACGGGGCCCUAGUUAUUUUUCCUCCCCUUUGAACUGGAAAAUGGCCCACUUCCCACUGGCGAAAACUCAUGAAAUUUGGCAGGACGACCGGGCCUGGUGAAAAAUUUGAUAUUCCGAAGUCGCCCAAACAAGAAAAUGCAAAAUGGCUCCAUAGCGCCCCCUAAGGUGAAAAUUCACACUAUUCACUGUCACGCCUGUACGCUUUGUCAAAAUGACACAAAAAUUGACACACACAUGUAUCUCAAUAAGAUCUACAAAAAAGUCAGUGCGGGCGUAUCUGUCAAAUGUACGGUUAAAGGGUUAUUUCGCAUUUUUUGCCGAUCCGCACACAUUGGAAUUUCGCUAACUCCUCCGAAGGCUUUCGUUCCACCGGCACCACAUUUGCUCAGGCCAAUCUACACCCCAUGGCCAUUAAAAGUUAUUCAAAUCAUGACGCUGCACCCCACGGUUUAGGUUCUAGGGGGCGCCAAAGAUAACCCUAAAAUCCACAUAUUUAAAAGUCUUAUAACUUUUUAUUUUUGCCCUCACUGGCCUCCAAGUUUUCUAGGAUGAUGCAAUGUCCAGCCAUCAACACAUUUGUGAAGGAAUUUUUACUCCCCAAAAGAGCGCCCCCCCAUGGCAGGAGAAAAAAGUCCAUUUUUUCUUGUCCCCUAAGGUGAAAAUUCACACUAUUGACUGUCACGCCUGUACGCUUUGUCAAAAUGACACAAAAAUUGACACACACAUGUAUCUCAAUAAGAUCUACAAAAAAGUCCAUGCGCGCGUAUCUGUCUAAUGUACGGUUAAAGGGUUAUUUCGCAUUUUUUGCCGAUCCGCACACAUUGGAAUUUCGCUAACUCCUCCGAAGGCUUUCGUACCACCGGCACCACAUUUGCUCAGGCCAAUCUACACCCCAUGGCCAUUAAAAGUUAUUCAAAUCAUGACGCUGCACCCCACGGUUUAGGUUCUAGGGGGCGCCAAAGAUAACCCAAAAAUCCACAUUUUUAAAAGUCUUAUAACUUUUUAUUUUUGUCCUCACUGGCCUCCAAGUUUUCUAGGAUGAUGCAAUGUCCAGCCAUCAACACAUUUGUGAAGGAAUUUUUACUCCCUAAAAGAGCGCCCCCCAUGGCAGGAGAAAAAAGUCCAUUUUUUCUUGUCCCCUAAGGUGAAAAUACACAUUGUUGACUGUCACGCCUGUACGCUUUGGCAAAAUGACACAAAAAUUGACAAUCAUGUGUAUCUCAAUUAGAUCUACGAAAAAGUCAAUGCGCGCGUAUCUGUAUAAUGUACGGUAAAAGGGCUAUUUUGCAUUUUUUGCCGAUUCGCACACAUUGGAAUUUCGCUAACUCCUCCUAAGGCUUUCGUCCCACUGACACCAAAUUUGCUCAGGCCAAUCUACACUCCAUGGCCAUUCAAAGUUGUAAAAAUCAUGACGCUGCACCCCACGGUUUACGUUUUAGGGGGCGCCAAAGAUGACCCAAAUAUACAUUACAGUAGACAAAGUAGUUUUGCCCACUGAGUGGCGCCAAAGGGACUUGUCAGUGGAGUCUGUGAGUCACUAUUGGCCGUUUUUGACUACUUUAGAUUUUACCUUUAUAUUUCCUCUUACAAAAUUUUUACCUUGCCUUGCCUGGUAUCAUUUUUUUCAGCACAACCUCACCUGUGUCAAUUUACAGUUAUUUUAUCAUUUUGACAUACUAUAUUUACACAUUGGACCCAAAUUCACACACAAAACAUAAAAUCCGAGUGGAAAAAAGUAACGUUUUUACUGUGAAAACCACAAAUAUGUGUGAUGAACUGUUUUUAAAACUUAAACUUCAAAUAAAAAUUGUAAACUUCAAAACAUAUGCAAAUUUUUAACAAAGAACAUAGUAAUUUACCUCUAUUGACAUCAAAAUGCAGGCAAUGGCCCAGGUGUUCUUUGUAAAAUUAUUUACAAAACACUGUAUAGUCUCACAAAUGUCACUUUUUAUUUAUGCCACUACAAAAAAACAUGAUGUAAAUGAUGCAUGAUGUAAAACAUGAUGUAAAAAACUUGUGUAGAUCCUCCUCUAUGUUAGUCCAUGUGUAAUUUUUCCAUAAUUCUUUGUUUUUUGCAGCAUUUUUGUUAGUGUAACUGCAGAUUGUGCUGACAGUGUCUAUGGCAAAAAAAAAAAAAAAAAACUGAAAAUGCCUCAACAUGAACCCCUGGUGGUCUCUGAGGGUGAAACCUGCUAACUGCUGCAGCUCUGUCAGCUUCAGUCUCCCAUGCAGAGCUCGGAGCGCAUGUGUGGCUCUGCACCCUUAGCAGCGUUGCUAACUCCUCAGUAAGGAAAGCCUGCUUCAUGUCAGAGUCUCUAAACUCCAGAAGAAGUCGAUAAAAGUCACUUUCUUUCUAAAAAAAAGUCGUUAGGGGGUCUGAAAAGUCAUUGAAUCUAACAACAAAGUCGCUAGGUUUGCAACUACGUGUCCCAGACUGCAUCCCUGCUGAGAGUCCCUCCCUCCCUUCUCAUAUUGCAGGAAGAACGUAAGUUCCCGCCCCUUGUCAAUCAGUCACCAUAUAAUUUUGGAUUGGUUGUUGUGGUGAAGUUUUCCACCAAUAGGAGAGAUGUUGUGGUGUGUAUUUUUUUUCCUUUGGCAAGCCUUUUCCGCCUGUAAGACCUGUCGCUAAUGUCUGCAUGCUAUGUUUUCCUGUCUCAUACAGCGCGAUCGAGCGCCGAACGUGAUCAAAAUAAGCAGAAAACAAGUAUCGCGGACAUAAUUUAUCAUAACUCUGGUUUUAUUUGGCCUAUCAACACAAUUUAAAAACUGGUAUAUAGGUUGAGGUCCUCACUUUUGAGAUAAAUUGAAACGGAGAGUCAACGAGGCUCCGUCUUGCAGCUACAUCCGGUUAAAUAUGUCAUGUGACUUGAACGCACACACACACACACACGCACACACACACACUCAGAGUCUGGUUUGUAGCACCUGCAAAAACAUGCUAUUUACAUAUUUGACAAAAAUGCAGAGGCUCCUUUUGCCCCUGAAAAAAAUCAAAUUUCAAACACAACUUGACUGGUCAUUUCUCCAAAAGACAACCAUGAAGCUCCAUCCAAACCUGAAGCAGGCAGUUGGUGCAUGUGUACAGUAACCUGAGGGGAGUGAGGUGACUGCUUCUGAGGAGAACAUGAGCAGUGAAGAUUUACCUUAGAGCUAGAACAGAGACGUGCACAUGAUUAUACAGGGGCAGGGGCUCAAGUUUUUUCCAGUCGUUUAUACAAUUUGGAAAUUAAUGUGAAAUUAAAAAACAAAGUAUUAAUAGAAAGGUAAUGACUGUCCUGUGUAGGUGACAGUGAUAUCCAAUAGGCUAGGCACUCACGAGGCUGGCUGUGGCAAGUGUAAGUGAAAGCAACACGCACUGGCAGGAAAAACAGCAAACGCCGAUGAAGGAAAAGGGUCUUUGCAGUGAUGGGCGUUACCAAAGAGGGCGAUGGCCAGAGGACACAAAUGGGACGGGGAGGCAGCGCGUUGGGGGGGGGACGCGACACAGCUCGGGCCCGCCAGUGCCCCAACGGGGUCCUAGUUAUUUUUCUGCCCCUUUGAACUGGAAAAUGGCCCACUUCCCACUGGUGAAAACUCAUGAAAUUUGGCAGGACGACCGGGCCUGGUGAAAAAUUCGAUAUUCUGAAGUCACCCAAACAAUCAAAUGCAAAAUGGCUCCAUAGCGCCCCCUAAGGUGAAAAAUUCACAUGAUUGAGUGUCACGCCUGUACGCUUUGUCAAAAUGACACAAAAUUUGACACACACGUGUAUCUCAAUAAGAUCUACAAAAAAGUCAGUGCGGGCGUAUCUGUCAAAUGUACGUUUAAAGGGCUAUUUCGCAUUUUUUGCCGAUCCGCACACAUUGGAAUUUCGCUAACUCCUCCGAAGGCUUUCGUUCCACCGGCACCAAAUUUGCUCAGGCCAAUCUACACCCCAUGGCCAUUCAAAGUUGUACAAAUCAUGACGCUGCACCCCACGGUUUACGUUGUAGGGGGCGCCAAAGAUAACCCAAAAAUCCACAUUCUUACAAGUCUUAUAACUUUUUAUUUCUGUCCUCACUGGCCUCCAAGUUUUCUAGGAUGAUGCAAUGUCCAGCCAUCAACACAUUUGUGAAGGAAUUUUUACUCCCCAAAAGAGCGCCCCCCCAUGGCAGGAGAAAAAAGGCCAUUUUUUCUUGUCCUAUAAGGUGAAAAUACACAUUGUUGAGUGUCACGCCUGUACGCUUUGUCAUAUUGAAACAAAAUUUGAUAAUCACGUGUAUCUCAAUAAGAUCUACGAAAAAAACAAUGCGCACGUGUCUGCAAAAUGUACGGUUAAAGGGCUGUUUCGCAUUUUUGGUUGAUUCGCACACAUUGGAAUGUGGCUAACUCCUCCUAAAGCUUUCGUUCCACCGGCACCAAAUUUGCUCAGGCCAAUCUACACCCCAUGGCCAUUAAAAGUUGUACAAAUCAUGAUGCUGCACCCCACGGUUUACGUUCUAGGGGUCGCCAAAGAUAACCCAAAAAUCCACAUUCUUAAAAGUCUUAUAACUUUUCAUUUUUGUCCUCAUUGGCUUCAAAGUUUUCUAGGAUGAUGCAAUGUCUAGCCAUCAACACAUUUGUGAAGGAAUUUUUUCUCCCCAAAAGAGCGCCCCCCCAUGGCAGGAGAAAAAGUCAAGUUUUUCCUGCCCAUCGCUCAAUGGCUCAAACACAUCGCUCUCUCGGAAAAAAACGAAAGGAGGAGGAACUUGCCAUUUGGAUAUAUCCUAGCUGUGUUUGUGCCCUCACUCAUGGUCCAGACUUUUUUCAAAUAGGACAUGUAGUUUGUCUGCAGCAAGCGUUUUGGUAGAAACUGCGCCUCCCAUUCAUUAUAAUGGUAAAUGACCACAGACAAGUGCGCACACCAUCGUUGAACCUUGAGUGUGACGCGAUCGGGAGGGAGAGGCGGUCGUGUUGGGGGCGGCGUGACACAGCUCGGGCCCGCCAGUGCCCCAACGGGGCCCUAGUUAUUAUUAUUAUUAUUUUUCCUCCGCUUUAAACUGGAAAAUGGCCCACUUCCCACUGGCGAAAACUCAUGAAAUUUGGCAGGACGACCGGGCCUGGUGAAAAAUUCGAUAUUCUGAAGUCGCCCAAACAAUAAAAUGCAAAAUGGCUCCAUAGCGCCCCCUAAGGUGGAAAUUCACACUAUUGACUGUCACGUCUGUACGUUUUGUCAUAUUGACACAAAAAUUGACACACAUAUGUAUCUCAAUAAGAUCUACAAAAAAGUCAGUGCGGGCGUAUCUGUCAAAUGUACGGUUAAAGGGUUAUUUCGCAUUUUUUGCCGAUCCGCACACAUUGGAAUUUCGCUAACUCCUCCGAAGGCUUUCGUUCCACCGGCACCACAUUUGCUCAGGCCAGUCUACACCCCAUGGCCAUUAAAAGUUGUACAAAUCAUGACGCUGCACCCCACGGUUUAGGUUCUAGGGGGCGCCAAAGAUAACCCAAAAAUCCACAUUCUUAAAAGUCUUAUAACUUUUUAUUUUUGUCCUCACUGCCCUCCAAGUUUUCUAGGAUGAUGCAAUGUCCAGCCAUCAACACAUUUGUGAAGGAAUUUUUACUCCCCAAAAGAGCGCCCCCCCAUGGCAGGAGAAAAAAGUCAAUUUUUUCUUGUCCCCUUACAUGAAAAUACACAUUGUUGAGUGUCACGCCUGAACGCUUUGUCAUAUUGACACAAAAAUUGACAAUCAUGUGUAUCUCAAUUAGAUCUACGAAAAAGUCAAAGAGCGCGUAUCUGUAUAAUGUACGGUUAAAGGGCUAUUUCGCAUUUUUUGCCGAUUCGCACACAUUGGAAUGUGGCUAUCUCCUCCUAAGGCUUUCGUCCCACUGAUACCAAAUUUGCUCAGGGCAAUCUACACCCCAUGCCCAUUCAAAGUUGUAAAAAUCAUGACGCUGCACCCCACGGUUUACGUUCUAGGGGGUGCCAAAGAUGACCCAAAAAUCCACAUUCUUAAAAGUCAUUUUGGCCACUGCAGGAGUACAGAGUACUGCAGUUCUAGGGGGCGCCAAAGAUGACCCAAAAAUCCACAUUCUUAAAAGUCUUUUUGGCCACUGCAGGAGUACAGAGUACUGCAGGAUACACACACAUAUACACACACGCCACACACACACACACACACACACACACACACACACACACACACACACACACUCAGAGUCUGUUUUUUAGCACCUGCAAAAACAUGCUGUUUACAUAUUUGACAAGAAUGCAGAGGCUUCCUUUUGCCCCUGAAAAAAAUCAGAUUUCAAACACAACUUGACUGUUCAUUUCUCCAAAAGACAACCAUGAAGCUCCAUCCAAACCUGAAGCAGAUAGUUGGUGCAUGUGUACAGUAACCUGAGGGGAGUGAGGUGACUAUUUCUGAGGAGAACAUGAGCAGUGAAGAUUCACCUUGGAGCUAGAACAGGGACGUGCACAUGAUUAUACAGGGGCAGGGGCUCAAGUUUUUUCCAGUCAUUUAUACAAUAUGGAAAUUAAUGUGAAAUUAAAAAACAAAGUAUUAAUAGAAAGGUAAUGACUGUCCUGUGUAGGUGACAGUGAUAUCCAAUAGGCUAGGCACUCACGAGGCUGGCUGUGGCAAGUGUAAGUGAAAGCAACACGCACUGGCAGGAAGAACAGCAAACGCCGAUGAAGGAAAGGGUCUUUGCAGUGAUGGGCGUUACCAGAGAGGACGAUGGCCAGAGGACGCGAAUGGGACGGGGAGGCAGCGCGUUGGGGGGGGCAGCGCGACACGGCUCGGGCCCGCCAGUGCCCCAACGGGGCCCUAGUUAUUAUUUUUCCUCCGCUUUAAACUGGAAAAUGGCCCACUUCCCACUGGCGAAAACUCAGGAAAUUUGGCAGGACGACCGGGCCUGGUGAAAAAUUCGAUGUUCUGAAGUCGCCCAAACAAUAAAAUGCAAAAUGGCUCCAUAGCGCCCCCUAAGGUGAAAAUUCACAUGACGGCUGUACGCUUUGUCAUAUUGACACAAAAAUUGACACACACAUGUAUCUCAAUAAGUUCUACAAAAAAGUCAGUGCGGGCUUAUCUGUCAAAUGUACGGUUAAUGGGUUAUUUUGCAUUUUUUGCAGAUCUGCACACAUUGGAAUUUCGCUAACUCCUCCGAAGGCUUUCGUUCGACCGGCACCACAUUUGCGCAGGCCAAUCAACCCCCCAUGGCCAUUAAAAGUUGUACAAAUCAUGACGCUGCACCCCACGGUUUACGUUCUAGGGGGCGCCAAAGAUAACCCAAAAUCCACAUUCUUAAAAGUCUUAUAACUUUUUAUUUUUGUCCUCACUGCCCUCCAAGUUUUCUAGGAUGAUGCAAUGUCCAGCCAUCAACACAUUUGUGAAGGAAUUUUUACUCCCCAAAAGAGCGCCCCCCCAUGGCAGGAGAAAAAAGUCAAUUUUUUCUUGUCCCCUUACAUGAAAAUACACAUUGUUGAGUGUCACGCCUGAACGCUUUGUCAUAUUGACACAAAAAUUGACAAUCAUGUGUAUCUCAAUUAGAUCUACGAAAAAGUCAAAAAGCGCAUAUCUGUAUAAUGUACGGUUAAAGGGCUAUUUCGCAUUUUUUGCCGAUUCGCACACAUUGGAAUGUGGCUAUCUCCUCCUAAGGCUUUCGUCCCACCGAUACCAAAUUUGCUCAGGGCAAUCUACACCCCAUGCCCAUUCAAAGUUGUAAAAAUCAUGACGCUGCACCCCACGGUUUACGUUCUAGGGGGCGCCAAAGAUGACCCAAAAAUCCACAUUCUUAAAAGUCAUUUUGGCCACUGCAGGAGUACAGAGUACUGCAGGAUACACACACAUAUACACACACACACACACACACACACACACUCAGAGUCUGUUUUUUAGCACCUGCAAAAACAUGCUGUUUACAUAUUUGACAAGAAUGCAGAGGCUUCCUUUUGCCCCUGAAAAAAAUCAGAUUUCAAACACAACUUGACUGUUCAUUUCUCCAAAAGACAACCAUGAAGCUCCAUCCAAACCUGAAGCAGAUAGUUGGUGCAUGUGUACAGUAACCUGAGGGGAGUGAGGUGACUAUUUCUGAGGAGAACAUGAGCAGUGAAGAUUCACCUUGGAGCUAGAACAGGGACGUGCACAUGAUUAUACAGGGGUAGGGGCUCAAGUUUUUUCCAGUCAUUUAUACAAUAUGGAAAUUAAUGUGAAAUUAAACCACAAAUAUGUGUGAUGAACUGUUUUUAAAACUUAAACUUCAAAUAAAAAUUGUAAACUUCAAAACAUAUGCAAAUUUUUAACAAAGAACAUAGUAAUUUACCUCUAUUUACAUCAAAAUGCAGGCAAUGGCCCAGGCGUUCUUUGUAAAAUUAUUUACAAAACACUGUAUAGUCUCACAAAUGUCACUUUUUAUUUAUGCCACUACAAAAAAACAUGAUGUAAAUGAUGCAUGAUGUAAAACAUGAUGUAAAAAACUUGUGUAGAUCCUCCUCUAUGUCAGUCCAUGUGUAAUUUUUCCAUAAUUCUUUGUUUUUUGCAGCAUUUUUGUUAGUGUAACUGCAGAUUGUGCUGACAGUCUAUGGCAAAAAAAACAAAAACUGAAAAUGCCUCAACAUGAACCCCUGGUGGUCUCUGAGGGUGAAACCUGCUAACUGCUGCAGCUCUGUCAGCUUCAGUCUCCCAUGCAGAGCUCGGAGCGCAUGUGUGGCUCUGCACCCUUAGCAGCGUUGCUAACUCCUCAGUAAGGAAAGCCUGCUUCAUGUCAGAGUCUCUAAACUCCAGAAGAAGUCGAUAAAAGUCCCUUUCUUUCUAAAAAAAAGUCGUUAGGGGGUCUGAAAAGUAAUUGAAUCUAACAACAAAGUCGCUAGGUUUGCAACUACGUGUCCCAGACUGCAUCCCUGCUGAGAGUCCCUCCCUCCCUUCUCAUGUUGCAGGAAGAACGUAAGCGCCCGCCCCUUGUCAUUCAGUCACCAUAUAAUUUUGGAUUGGUUGUUGUGGUGAAGUUUUCCACCAAUAGGAGAGAUGUUGUGGUGUGUUUUUUUUUUCUUUUGGCAAGCCUUUUCCGCCUGUAAGACCUGUCGCUAAUGUGUGCAUGCUAUGUUUUCCUGUCUCAUACAGCGCGAUCGAGCGCCGAACGUGAUCAAAAUAAGCAGAAAAAAAGUAUCGCGGACAUAAUUUAUCAUAACUCUGGUUUUAUUUGGCCUAUCAACACAAUUUAAAAACUGGUAUAUAGGUUGAGGUCCUCACUUUUGAGAUAAGUUGAAACGGAGAGUUAACGAGGCUCCGUCUUGCAGCUACAUCCGGUUAAAUAUGUCAUGUGACUUGAACGCUGGGGAGCGUCAAUCGAAUCGAAUCAAACCUAACUCUCAGAUGAAUCUUCAAAAUUCACCUCAGAAAUAUGCUUAUUAUUCUUCUCAGAGUACUGCAGGAUACACACACAGACACACACACACACACGCACACACACACACACACACACACACACACACACACACACACACUCGGAGUCUGUUUUUUAGCACCUGCAAAAACAUGCUAUUUACAUAUUUGACAAGAAUGCAGAGGCUUCCUUUUGCCCCUGAAAAAAAUCAAAUUUCAAACACAACUUGACUGGUCAUUUCUCCAAAAGACAACCAUGAAGCUCCAUCCAAACCUGAAGCAGGCAGUUGGUGCAUGUGUACAGUAACCUGAGGGGAGUGAGGUGACUGCUUCUGAGGAGAACAUGAGCAGUGAAGAUUCACCUUGGAGCUAGAACAGGGACGUGCACAUGAUAAUACAGGGGCAGGGGCUCAAGUUUUUUCCAGUCGUUUAUACAAUAUGGAAAUUAAUGUGAAAUUAAAAAACAAAGUAUGACUGUCCUGUGUAGGUGACAGUGAUAUCCAAUAGGCUAGGCACUCACGAGGCUGGCUGUGGCAAGUGUAAGUGAAAGCAACACGCACUGGCAGGAAGAACAGCAAACGCAGAUGAAGGAAAAGGGUCUUUGCUGUGAUGGGCGUUACCAGAGAGGGCGAUGGCCAGAGGACACGAAUGGGACGGGGAGGCAGCGCGUUGGGGGGGGGGGGGGUGCGACACGGCUCGGGCCCGCCAGUGCCCCAACGGGGCCCUAGUUAGGGCCCGAGCGUAGCUGCUAAGCAGCUGCGAGAGCCCUCUUGUUCCUGCAUGUUUCCUUCUUUCGUUAUUAUUUUUCCUCCGCUUUAAACUGGAAAAUGGCCCACUUCCCACUGGCGAAAACUCAGGAAAUUUGGCAGGACGACCGGGCCUGGUGAAAAAUUCGAUAUUCUGAAGUCGCCCAAACAAUAAAAUGCAAAAUGGCUCCAUAGCGCCCCCUAAGGUGAAAAUUCACAUGACGGCUGUACGCUUUGUCAUAUUGACACAAAAAUUGACACACACAUGUAUGUCAAUAAGAUCUACAAAAAAGUCAGUGCGGGCGUAUCUGUCAAAUGUACGGUUAAUGGGUUAUUUUGCAUUUUUUGCAGAUCUGCACACAUUGGAAUUUCGCUAACUCCUCCGAAGGCUUUCGUUCGACCGGCACCACAUUUGCGCAGGCCAAUCUACCCCCCAUGGCCAUUAAAAGUUGUACAAAUCAUGACGCUGCACCCCACGGUUUACGUUCUAGGGGGCGCCAAAGAUAACCCAAAAUCCACAUUCGUAAAAGUCUUAUAACUUUUUAUUUUUGUCCUCACUGCCCUCCAAGUUUUCUAGGAUGAUGCAAUGUCCAGCCAUCAACACAUUUGUGAAGGAAUUUUUACUCCCCAAAAGAGCGCCCCCCCAUGGCAGGAGAAAAAAGUCAAUUUUUUCUUGUCCCCUAAGGUGAAAAUACACAUUGUUGAGUGUCACGCCUAUACGCUUUGUCAUAUUGACCCAAAAUUUGACAAUCACGUGUAUCUCAAUAAGAUCUACGAAAAAGUCAAUGGGCACGUAUCUGUAAAAUGUACGGUUAAAGGGUUAUGUCGCAUUUUUUCCCGAUCCGCACACAUUGGAAUUUCGCUAACUUCUCCGAAGGCUUUCGUUCCACCGCCACCAAAUUUGCUCAGGCCAAUCUACACCCCAUGGCCAUUCAAAGUUGUACAAAUCAUGAUGCUGCACUCCACAGUUUAGGUUCUAGGGGGCGCCAAACAUAACCCUAAAAUCCACAUUCUUAAUAGUCUUAUAACUUUUUAUUUUUGUCCUCACUGGCCUCCAAGUUUUCUAGGAUGAUGCAAUGUCCAGCCAUCAACACAUUUGUAAAGGAAUUUUUACUCUCGAAAAGAGCGCCCCCCCCAUGGCAGGAGAAAAAAGUCAAUUUUUUCUUGUCCCCUAAGGUGAAAAAACACAUUGUUGAGUGUCACUCCUAUACGCUUUGUCAAAAUGACACAAAAUUUGACACACACGUGUAUCUCAAUAAGAUCUACGAAAAAGUCAAUGUGCACGCAUCUGUAAAAUGUACAGUCAAAGGGCUAUUUCGCAUUUUUUCCCGAUCCGCACACAUUGGAAUUUCGCUAACUCCUCCUAAGGCUUUCGUCCCACCGACACCAAAUUUGCUCAAGCAGAUCUACAUCCCAUGGCCAUUCAAAGUUGUAAAAAUCAUGACGCUGCACCCCACGGUUUACGUUCUAAGGGGCGCCAAAGAUGACCCUAAAAUCCACAUUCUUAAUAGUCUUAUAACUUUUUAUUUUUGUCCUCACUGGCCUCCAAGUUUUCUAGGAUGAUGCAAUGUCCAGCCAUCAACACAUUUGUAAAGGAAUUUUUACUCUCGAAAAGAGCGCCCCCCCAUGGCAGGAGAAAAAAGUCAAUUUUUUCUUGUCCCCUAAGGUGAAAAAACACAUUGUUGAGUGUCACUCCUAUACACUUUGUCAAAAUGACACAAAAUUUGACACACACGUGUAUCUCAAUAAGAUCUACGAAAAAGUCAAUGUGCACGCAUCUGUAAAAUGUACAGUCAAAGGGCUAUUUCGCAUUUUUUCCCGAUCCGCACACAUUGGAAUUUCGCUAACUCCUCCUAAGGCUUUCGUCCCACCGAAACCAAAUUUGCUCAAGCAGAUCUACAUCCCAUGGCCAUUCAAAGUUGUAAAAAUCAUGACUCCCCUUCGCUCUCUUCGGCAAAACCGAAAGGAGGAGCAACUUGCCAUUUGGAUAUAUACUAGCUGUGUUUCUGCCCUCACUCAUGGUCCAGACGUUUUUCAAAUAGGACAUGGAGUUUUUCUGCAGCGAGCGUUUUGGUAGAAACUGCGCCUCCCAUUCAUUAUAACGGUAAAUGACCACAGACAAGUGCACACACCAUCUUUCGACCUUGAGUGUGACGCGAUCAGGAAGGGGAGGCGGUCGCGCUGGGGGCGGUGCGACAUGGCUCGGGCCCGCCAGUGCCCCAACGGGGCCCUAGUUCUUCUUUAGGGCCCGAGCGUAGCUGCUAAGCAGCUGCGAGAGCCCUCUUGUUCCUGAUGGAUUCUUCUUUUGUUAUUAUUUAGGGCCCGAGCGUAGCUGCUAAGCAGCUGCGAGAGCCCUCUUGUUCCUGAUGGAUUCUUCUUUCGUUAUUUUUCCUCCGCUUUAAACUGGAAAAUGGCCCACUUCCCACUGGCGAAAACUCAGGAAAUUUGGCAGGACGACCGGGCCUGGUGAAAAAUUCGAUAUUCUGAAGUCGCCCAAACAAAAAAAUGAAAAAUGGCUCCAUAGCGCCCCCUAUGGUGAAAACUCACCUGACGCCUGUACGCUUUGUCAAAAUGACACAAAAAUUGACACACAUGUGUAUCUCAAUAAGAUCUACAAAAAAGUCAGUGCGGGCGUAUCUGUCAAAUGUACCGUUAAAGGGCUAUUUCGCAUUUUUUGCCGAUCCGCACACAUUGGAAUUUCGCUAACUCCUCCGAAGGCUUUCCUUCCACCGGUACCAAAUUUGCUCAGGCCAAUCUACACCCCAUGGCCAUUAAAAGUUGUACAAAUCAUGACGCUGCACCCCACGGUUUAGGUUCUAGGGGGCGCCAAAGAUAACCCAAAAAGCCACAUUCUUAAAAGUCUUAUAACUUUUUAUUUUUGUCCUCACUGGCCUCCAAGUUUUCUAGGAUGAUGCAAUGUCCAGCCAUCAACACAUUUGUGAAGGAAUUUUUACUCCCCAAAAGAGCGCCCCCCCAUGGCAGUAGAAAAAAGUCCAUUUUUUCUUGUCCCCUAAGGUGAAAAUACACAUUGUUGAGUGUCACGCCUAAACGCUUUGUCAUAUUGACACAAAAUUUGACAAUCACGUGUAUCUCAAUAAGAUCUACGAAAAAGUCAAAGAGCGCGUAUCUGUAUAAUGUACGGUAAAAGGGCUAUUUUGCAUUUUUUGCCGAUCCGCACACAUUGGAAUUUCACUAACUCCUCCGAAGGCUUUCAUUCCACCGACACCAAAUUUGCUCAGGCCAAUCUACACCCCAUGGCCAUUAAAAGUUGUACAAAUCAUGAUGCUGCACCCCACGGUUUACGUUCUAGGGGGCGCCAAAGAUGACCCAAAUAUCCACAUUCUUAAAAGUCUUAUAACUUUUUAUUUUUGUCCUCACUGGCCUCCAAGUUUUCUUGGACGAUGCAAUGUCCAGCCAUCAACACAUUUGUGAAGGAAUUUUUACUCCCCAAAAGAGCGCCCCCCAUGGCAGGAGAAAAAAGUCCAUUUUUUCUUGUCCCCUAAGGUGAAAAUACGCACUGUUGAGUGUCACGCCUGUACGCUUUGUCAAAAUGACACAAAAAUUGACACACACAUGUAUCUCAAUAAGAUCUACGAAAAAGUCAAUGCACGCGUAUCUGUCAAAUGUACGGUUAAAGGGUUAUUCCGCAUUUUUUGCUGAUCCGCACACAUUGGAAUGUGGCUAACUCCUCUGAAGGCUUUCGUUCCAUCGGCACCAAAUUUGCUGAGGCCAAUCUACACCCCAUGGCCAUUAAAAGUUAUUCAAAUCAUGACGCUGCACCCCACGGUUUACGUUCUAGGGGGCGCCAAAGAUGACACAAAUAUCCACAUAUUUAAAAGUCUUAUAACUUUUUAUUUUCGUCCUCACUGGCCUCCAAGUUUUCUAGGAUGAUGCAAUGUCCAAAUAUCCACAUUCUUAAAAGAAUCUACAUCCCCCCCCCCAUCCCCCAAGUUUUUCCUGCCCAUCACUCAAUGGCUCAAUCGCAUCGCUCUCCCGGCAACACCGUAAUGAGGAGCAACUUGCCGUUUGGAUAUAUCCUAGCUGUGUUUGUGCCCUCACUCAUGGUCCAGACUUUUUUCAAAUAGGACAUGUAGUUUGUCUGCAGCGAGUGUUUUGGUAGAAACUGCGCCUCCCAUUCAUUAUAAUGGGAAAUGACCACAGACAAGUGCGCACACCAUCUUUGGACCUUGAGUGUGACGCGAUCGGGAGGGGGAGGCGGUCGCGCUGGGGGCGGCUCGACGCGGCUCGGGCCCGACAGUGCCCCACCGGGGCCCUAGUAUUAUUAUUUUUCCUCCGCUUUAAACUGGAAAAUGGCCCACUUCCCACUGGCGAAAACUCAUGAAAUUUGGCAGGACGACCGGGCCUGGUGAAAAAUUCGAUAUUCUGAAGUCGCCCAAACAAUAAAAUGCAAAAUGGCUCCAUAGCGCCCCCUAAGGUGGAAAUUCACACUAUUGACUGUCACGUCUGUACGUUUUGUCAUAUUGACACAAAAAUUGACACACAUAUGUAUCUCAAUAAGAUCUACAAAAAAGUCAGUGCGGGCGUAUCUGUCAAAUGUACGGUUAAAGGGUUAUUUCGCAUUUUUUGCCGAUCCGCACACAUUGGAAUUUCGCUAACUCCUCCGAAGGCUUUCGUUCCACCGGCACCACAUUUGCUCAGGCCAGUCUACACCCCAUGGCCAUUAAAAGUUGUACAAAUCAUGACGCUGCACCCCACGGUUUAGGUUCUAGGGGGCGCCAAAGAUAACCCAAAAAUCCACAUUCUUAAAAGUCUUAUAACUUUUUAUUUUUGUCCUCACUGCCCUCCAAGUUUUCUAGGAUGAUGCAAUGUCCAGCCAUCAACACAUUUUUGAAGGAAUUUUUACUCCCCAAAAGAGCGCCCCCCCAUGGCAGGAGAAAAAAGUCAAUUUUUUCUUGUCCCCUUACAUGAAAAUACACAUUGUUGAGUGUCACGCCUGAACGCUUUGUCAUAUUGACACAAAAAUUGACAAUCAUGUGUAUCUCAAUUAGAUCUACGAAAAAGUCAAAGAGCGCGUAUCUGUAUAAUGUACGGUUAAAGGGCUAUUUCGCAUUUUUUGCCGAUUCGCACACAUUGGAAUGUGGCUAUCUCCUCCUAAGGCUUUCGUCCCACUGAUACCAAAUUUGCUCAGGGCAAUCUACACCCCAUGCCCAUUCAAAGUUGUAAAAAUCAUGACGCUGCACCCCACGGUUUACGUUCUAGGGGGCGCCAAAGAUGACCCAAAAAUCCACAUUCUUAAAAGUCAUUUUGGCCACUGCAGGAGUACAGAGUACUGCAGUUCUAGGGGGCGCCAAAGAUGACCCAAAAAUCCACAUUCUUAAAAGUCUUUAUGGCCACUGCAGGAGUACAGAGUACUGCAGGAUACACACACAUAUACACACACGCCAACACACACACACACACACACACACACACACACACACACACACACACACACACACACACUCAGAGUCUGUUUUUUAGCACCUGCAAAAACAUGCUGUUUACAUAUUUGACAAGAAUGCAGAGGCUUCCUUUUGCCCCUGAAAAAAAUCAAAUUUCAAACACAACUUGACUGGUCAUUUCUCCAAAAGACAACCAUGAAGUUCCAUCCAAACCUGAAGCAGAUAGUUGGUGCAUGUGUACAGUAACCUGAGGGGAGUGAGGUGACUAUUUCUGAGGAGAACAUGAGCAGUGAAGAUUCACCUUGGAGCGAGAACAGGGACGUGCACAUGAUUAUACAGGGGCAGGGGCUCAAGUUUUUUCCAGUCAUUUAUACAAUAUGGAAAUUAAUGUGAAAUUAAAAAACAAAGUAUUAAUAGAAAGGUUAUGACUGUCCUGUGUAGAUGACAGUGAUAUCCAAUAGGCUAGGCACUCACGAGGCUGGCUGUGGCAAGUGUAAGUGAAAGCAACACGCACUGGCAGGAAGAACAGCAAACGCCGAUGAAGGAAAAGGGUCUUUGCAGUGAUGGGCGUUACCAGAGAGGGCGAUGGCCAGAGGAAACAAAUGGGACGGGGAGGCAGCGCGUUGGGGGGGGGGACGCGACACAGCUCGGGCCCGCCAGUGCCCCAACGGGGUCCUAGUUAGGGCCCGAGCGUAGCUGCUAAGCAGCUGCGAGAGCCCUAUUGUUCCUGUAUCGGUUUUUCUUUCUUCUUUCUUUCUUUCUUUCUUUCUUCUUAUUUUUCCUCCCCUUUGAACUGGAAAAAAACUCACUUCCCACUGGCGAAAACUCAUGAAAUUUGGCAGGACGACCGGGCCUGGUGAAAAAUUCGAUAUUCUGAAGUCGCCUAAACAAUAAAAUGCAAAAUGGCUCCAUAGCGCCCCCAAAGGUGAAAAUUCACACCAUUGACUGUCACGCCUGUACGCUUUGUCAAAAUGACACAAAAUUUGACACACAUAUGUAUCUCAAUAAGAUCUACGAAAAAAUCAGCGCGGGCGUAUCUGUCAAAUGUACGGUUAAAGGUUUAUUUCGCAUUUUUUGCCGAUCCGCACACAUUGGAAUUUCGCUAACUCCUCCGAAGGCUUUUGUUCCACUGGCACCACAUUUGCUCAGGUCAAUCUACACCCCAUGGCCAUUAAAAGUUGUACAAAUCAUGACGCUGCACCCCGCGGUUUAGGUUCUAGGGGGCGCCAAAGAUGACCCAAAAAUCCACAUUCUUAAAAGUCUUAUAACUUUUUAUUUUUGUCCCCACUGGCCUUGAAGUUCUCUAGGAUGAUGCAAUGUCCAGCCAUCAACACAUUUGUGGAGGAAUUUUUACUCCCCAAAAGAGCGCCCCCCCAUGGCAGGAGAAAAAAGGCCAUUUUUUCUUGUCCCCUAAGGUGAAAAUACACAUUGUUGAGUGUCACACCUGUACGCUUUGUCAUAUUGACACAAAAUUUGACAAUCACGUGUAUCUCAAUAAGAUCUACGAAAAAGUCAAUGCGGGCGUAUCUGUCAAAUGUACGGUUAAAGGGCUAUUUCGCAUUUUUUGCCAAUUCGCACACAUUGGAAUGUGGCUAACUCCUCCUAAAGCUUUCGUCCCAUCAACACCAAAUGUGCUCAGGCCAAUCUACACCCCAUGGCCAUUCAAAGUUGUAAAAAUCAUGAUGCUGCACCCAACGGUUUACGUUCUAGGGGGCGCCAAAGAUAACCCAAAAAUCCACAUUUUCAAAAGUCUUAUAACUUUUUAUUUUUGUCCUCACUGGCCUCCAAGUUUUCUAGGAUAAUGCAAUGUUCAGCCAUUAACACAAUUGUGAAGGAAUUUUUACUCCCCAAAAGAGCGCCCCCCAUGGCAGGAGAAAAAGUCAAGGUUUUCCUGCCCAUCGCUCAAUGGCUCAAACGCAUCGCUCUCUCGGCAAAACCGAAAGGAGGAGCAACUUGCCAUUUGGAUAUAUCCUAGCUGUGUUUGUGCCCUCACUCAUGGUCCAGACUUUUUUCAAAAAGGACAUGGAGUUUUUCUGCAGCGAGCAUUUUGGUAGAAACUGCGCCUCCCAUUCAUUAUAAUGGUAAAUGACCACAGACAAGUGCGCACACCAUCUUUGGACCUUGAGUGUGAGGCGAUCGGAAGGGGGGCGGUCGCGAUGGGGGCGGCACAACACGGCUCGGGCCCGCCAGUGCCCCAACGGGGCCCUAGUCUUCUUAUUAGGGCCCGAGCGUAGCUGCUAAGCAGCUGCGAGAGCCCUCUUGUUCCUGAUGGAUUCUUCUUUCGUUAUUUUUCCUCCGCUUUAAACUGGAAAAUGGCCCACUUCCCACUGGCGAAAACUCAUGAAAUUUGGCAGGACGACCGGGCCUGGUGAAAAAUUCGAUAUUCUGAAGUCGCCCAAACAAUAAAAUGCAAAAUGGCUCCAUAGCGCCCCCUAAGGUGAAAAUUCACAUGCGGGCUGUACGCUUUGUCAAAAUGACACAAAAAUUGACACACACAUGUAUCUCAAUAAGAUCUACAAAAAAGUCAGUGCGGGCGUAUCUGUCAAAUGUACGGUUAAAGGGUUAUUUCGCAUUUUUUGCAGAUCUGCACACAUUGGAAUUUCGCUAACUCCUCCGAAGGCUUUCGUUCCACCGGCACCACAUUUGCGCAGGCCAAUCUACCCCCCAUGGCCAUUAAAAGUUGUACAAAUCAUCUUGCUGCACCCCACGGUUUAGGUUCUAGGGGGCGCCAAAGAUAACCCAAAAAUCCAAAGUGUUAAAAGUCUUAUAACUUUUUAUUUUUCUCCAAACUGGCCUCCAAGUUUUCUAGGAUGAUGCAAUGUCCAGCCAUCAACACAUCUGUGAACAAAUUUUUACUCCCCAAAAGAGCGCCCCCCAUGGCAGGAGAAAAAAGUCCAUUUUUUCUUGUCCCGUAAGGUGAAAAUACACAUUUUUGAGUGUCACCCCUGUACCCUUUGUCAUAUUGACACAAAAUUUGACAAUAACGUGUAUCUCAAUAAGAUCUACGAAAAAGUCAAAGGGCACAUAUCUGUCAAAUGUACGGUUAAAGGGCUAUUUUGCAUUUUUUGCCGAUUCGCACACAUUGGAAUUUCGCUAACUCCUCCGAAGGCUAUCUUUCUACCGGCACCAAAUUUGCUCAGGCUAAUCUACACCCCAUGGCCAUUAAAAGUUGUACAAAUCAUGAUGCUGCCCUCCACGGUUUAGGUUCUAGGGGGCGCCAAAGAUAACCCAAAAAUCCACAUUCUUAAUAGUCUUAUAACUUUUUAGUUUUGUCCUCACUGGCCUCUAAGUUUUCUAGGAUGAUGCAAUGUCCAGCCAUCAACACAUUUGUAAAGGAAUUUUUACUCCCGAAAAGAGCGCCCCCCCAUGGCAGGAGAAAAAAGUCAAUUUUUUCUUGUCCCCUAAGGUGAAAAAACACAUUGUUGACUGUCACGCCUAUACGCUUUGUCAAAAUGACACAAAAUUUGACACACACGUGUAUCUCAAUAAGAUCUACGAAAAAGUCAAAGAGCGCGUAUCUGUAUAAUGUACGGUUAAAGGGCUAUUUUGCAUUUUUUGCCGAUUCGCACACAUUGGAAUGUGGCUAUCUCCUCCUAAGGCUUUCGUCCCACCGAUACCAAAUUUGCUCAGGGCAAUCUACACCCCAUGCCCAUUCAAAAUUGUAAAAAUCAUGACGCUGCACCCCACGGUUUACGUUCUAGGGGGCGCCAAAGAUGACCCAAAAAUCCACAUUCUUAAAAGUCUUUUUGGCCACUGCAGGAGUACAGAGUACUGCAGUUCUAGGGGGCGCCAAAGAUGACCCAAAAAUCCACAUUCUUAAAAGUCUUUUUGGCCACUGCAGGAGUACAGAGUACUGCAGGAUACACACACAUAUACACACACGCCAACAUACACACACACACACACAGACACACACACACACACUCAGAGUCUGUUUUUUAUCACCUUCAAAAACAUGCUGUUUACAUAUUUGACAAGAAUGCAGAGGCUUCCUUUUGCCCCUGAAAAAAAUCAAAUUUCAAACACAACUUGACUGUUCAUUUCUCCAAAAGACAACCAUGAAGCUCCAUUUCAAACCUGAAGCAAAUAGUUGGUGCAUGUGUACAGUAACCUGAGGGGAGUGAGGUGACUAUUUCUGAGGAGAACAUGAGCAGUGAAGAUUCACCUUGGAGCUAGAACAGGGACGUGCACAUGAUUAUACAGGGGCAGGGGCUCAAGUUUUUUCCAGUCAUUUAUACAAUAUGGAAAUUAAUGUGAAAUUAAAAAACAAAGUAUUAAUAGAAAGGUUAUGACUGUCCUGUGUAGAUGACAGUGAUAUCCAAUAGGCUAGGCACUCACGAGGCUGGCUGUGGCAAGUGUAAGUGAAAGCAACACGCACUGGCAGGAAGAACAGCAAACGCCGAUGAAGGAAAAGGGUCUUUGCAGUGAUGGGCGUUACCAGAGAGGGCGAUGGCCAGAGGAAACAAAUGGGACGGGGAGGCAGCGCGUUGGGGGGGGGGACGCGACACAGCUCGGGCCCGCCAGUGCCCCAACGGGGUCCUAGUUAGGGCCCGAGCGUAGCUGCUAAGCAGCUGCGAGAGCCCUAUUGUUCCUGUAUCGGUUUUUCUUUCUUCUUUCUUUCUUUCUUUCUUUCUUCUUAUUUUUCCUCCCCUUUGAACUGGAAAAAACUCACUUCCCACUGGCGAAAACUCAUGAAAUUUGGCAGGACGACCGGGCCUGGUGAAAAAUUCGAUAUUCUGAAGUCGCCUAAACAAUAAAAUGCAAAAUGGCUCCAUAGCGCCCCCAAAGGUGAAAAUUCACACCAUUGACUGUCACGCCUGUACGCUUUGUCAAAAUGACACAAAAUUUGACACACAUAUGUAUCUCAAUAAGAUCUACGAAAAAAUCAGCGCGGGCGUAUCUGUCAAAUGUACGGUUAAAGGUUUAUUUCGCAUUUUUUGCCGAUCCGCACACAUUGGAAUUUCGCUAACUCCUCCGAAGGCUUUUGUUCCACUGGCACCACAUUUGCUCAGGUCAAUCUACACCCCAUGGCCAUUAAAAGUUGUACAAAUCAUGACGCUGCACCCCGCGGUUUAGGUUCUAGGGGGCGCCAAAGAUGACCCAAAAAUCCACAUUCUUAAAAGUCUUAUAACUUUUUAUUUUUGUCCCCACUGGCCUUGAAGUUCUCUAGGAUGAUGCAAUGUCCAGCCAUCAACACAUUUGUGGAGGAAUUUUUACUCCCCAAAAGAGCGCCCCCCCAUGGCAGGAGAAAAAAGGCCAUUUUUUCUUGUCCCCUAAGGUGAAAAUACACAUUGUUGAGUGUCACACCUGUACGCUUUGUCAUAUUGACACAAAAUUUGACAAUCACGUGUAUCUCAAUAAGAUCUACGAAAAAGUCAAUGCGGGCGUAUCUGUCAAAUGUACGGUUAAAGGGCUAUUUCGCAUUUUUUGCCAAUUCGCACACAUUGGAAUGUGGCUAACUCCUCCUAAAGCUUUCGUCCCAUCAACACCAAAUGUGCUCAGGCCAAUCUACACCCCAUGGCCAUUCAAAGUUGUAAAAAUCAUGAUGCUGCACCCAACGGUUUACGUUCUAGGGGGCGCCAAAGAUAACCCAAAAAUCCACAUUUUCAAAAGUCUUAUAACUUUUUAUUUUUGUCCUCACUGGCCUCCAAGUUUUCUAGGAUAAUGCAAUGUUCAGCCAUUAACACAAUUGUGAAGGAAUUUUUACUCCCCAAAAGAGCGCCCCCCCAUGGCAGGAGAAAAAGUCAAGGUUUUCCUGCCCAUCGCUCAAUGGCUCAAACGCAUCGCUCUCUCGGCAAAACCGAAAGGAGGAGCAACUUGCCAUUUGGAUAUAUCCUAGCUGUGUUUGUGCCCUCACUCAUGGUCCAGACUUUUUUCAAAAAGGACAUGGAGUUUUUCUGCAGCGAGCAUUUUGGUAGAAACUGCGCCUCCCAUUCAUUAUAAUGGUAAAUGACCACAGACAAGUGCGCACACCAUCUUUGGACCUUGAGUGUGAGGCGAUCGGAAGGGGGGGCGGUCGCGAUGGGGGCGGCACAACACGGCUCGGGCCCGCCAGUGCCCCAACGGGGCCCUAGUCUUCUUAUUAGGGCCCGAGCGUAGCUGCUAAGCAGCUGCGAGAGCCCUCUUGUUCCUGAUGGAUUCUUCUUUCGUUAUUUUUCCUCCGCUUUAAACUGGAAAAUGGCCCACUUCCCACUGGCGAAAACUCAUGAAAUUUGGCAGGACGACCGGGCCUGGUGAAAAAUUCGAUAUUCUGAAGUCGCCCAAACAAUAAAAUGCAAAAUGGCUCCAUAGCGCCCCCUAAGGUGAAAAUUCACAUGCGGGCUGUACGCUUUGUCAAAAUGACACAAAAAUUGACACACACAUGUAUCUCAAUAAGAUCUACAAAAAAGUCAGUGCGGGCGUAUCUGUCAAAUGUACGGUUAAAGGGUUAUUUCGCAUUUUUUGCAGAUCUGCACACAUUGGAAUUUCGCUAACUCCUCCGAAGGCUUUCGUUCCACCGGCACCACAUUUGCGCAGGCCAAUCUACCCCCCAUGGCCAUUAAAAGUUGUACAAAUCAUCUUGCUGCACCCCACGGUUUAGGUUCUAGGGGGCGCCAAAGAUAACCCAAAAAUCCAAAGUGUUAAAAGUCUUAUAACUUUUUAUUUUUCUCCAAACUGGCCUCCAAGUUUUCUAGGAUGAUGCAAUGUCCAGCCAUCAACACAUCUGUGAACAAAUUUUUACUCCCCAAAAGAGCGCCCCCCCAUGGCAGGAGAAAAAAGUCCAUUUUUUCUUGUCCCGUAAGGUGAAAAUACACAUUUUUGAGUGUCACCCCUGUACCCUUUGUCAUAUUGACACAAAAUUUGACAAUAACGUGUAUCUCAAUAAGAUCUACGAAAAAGUCAAAGGGCACAUAUCUGUCAAAUGUACGGUUAAAGGGCUAUUUUGCAUUUUUUGCCGAUUCGCACACAUUGGAAUUUCGCUAACUCCUCCGAAGGCUAUCUUUCUACCGGCACCAAAUUUGCUCAGGCUAAUCUACACCCCAUGGCCAUUAAAAGUUGUACAAAUCAUGAUGCUGCCCUCCACGGUUUAGGUUCUAGGGGGCGCCAAAGAUAACCCAAAAAUCCACAUUCUUAAUAGUCUUAUAACUUUUUAGUUUUGUCCUCACUGGCCUCUAAGUUUUCUAGGAUGAUGCAAUGUCCAGCCAUCAACACAUUUGUAAAGGAAUUUUUACUCCCGAAAAGAGCGCCCCCCAUGGCAGGAGAAAAAAGUCAAUUUUUUCUUGUCCCCUAAGGUGAAAAAACACAUUGUUGACUGUCACGCCUAUACGCUUUGUCAAAAUGACACAAAAUUUGACACACACGUGUAUCUCAAUAAGAUCUACGAAAAAGUCAAAGAGCGCGUAUCUGUAUAAUGUACGGUUAAAGGGCUAUUUUGCAUUUUUUGCCGAUUCGCACACAUUGGAAUGUGGCUAUCUCCUCCUAAGGCUUUCGUCCCACCGAUACCAAAUUUGCUCAGGGCAAUCUACACCCCAUGCCCAUUCAAAAUUGUAAAAAUCAUGACGCUGCACCCCACGGUUUACGUUCUAGGGGGCGCCAAAGAUGACCCAAAAAUCCACAUUCUUAAAAGUCUUUUUGGCCACUGCAGGAGUACAGAGUACUGCAGUUCUAGGGGGCGCCAAAGAUGACCCAAAAAUCCACAUUCUUAAAAGUCUUUUUGGCCACUGCAGGAGUACAGAGUACUGCAGGAUACACACACAUAUACACACACGCCAACAUACACACACACACACACAGACACACACACACACACUCAGAGUCUGUUUUUUAUCACCUUCAAAAACAUGCUGUUUACAUAUUUGACAAGAAUGCAGAGGCUUCCUUUUGCCCCUGAAAAAAAUCAAAUUUCAAACACAACUUGACUGUUCAUUUCUCCAAAAGACAACCAUGAAGCUCCAUUUCAAACCUGAAGCAAAUAGUUGGUGCAUGUGUACAGUAACCUGAGGGGAGUGAGGUGACUAUUUCUGAGGAGAACAUGAGCAGUGAAGAUUCACCUUGGAGCUAGAACAGGGACGUGCACAUGAUUAUACAGGGGCAGGGGCUCAAGUUUUUUCCAGUCAUUUAUACAAUAUGGAAAUUAAUGUGAAAUUAAACCACAAAUAUGUGUGAUGAACUGUUUUUAAAACUUAAACUUCAAAUAAAAAUUGUAAACUUCAAAACAUAUGCAAAUUUUUAACAAAGAACAUAGUAAUUUACCUCUAUUUACAUCAAAAUGCAGGCAAUGGCCCAGGCGUUCUUUGUAAAAUUAUUUACAAAACACUGUAUAGUCUCACAAAUGUCACUUUUUAUUUAUGCCACUACAAAAAAACAUGAUGUAAAUGAUGCAUGAUGUAAAACAUGAUGUAAAAAACUUGUGUAGAUCCUCCUCUAUGUCAGUCCAUGUGUAAUUUUUCCAUAAUUCUUUGUUUUUUGCAGCAUUUUUGUUAGUGUAACUGCAGAUUGUGCUGACAGUGUCUAUGGCACAAAAAAAAAAAAUUUUAAAAUGCCUCAACAUGAACCCCUGGUGGUCUCUGAGGGUGAAACCUGCUAACUGCUGCAGCUCUGUCAGCUUCAGUCUCCCAUGCAGAGCUCUGAGUGCAUGUGUGGCUCUGCACCCUUAGCAGCGUUGCUAACUCCUCAGUAAGGAAAGCCUGCUUCAUGUCAGAGUCUCUAAACUCCAGAAGUCGAUAAAAGUCCCUUUCUUUCUAAAAAAAAGUCGUUAGGGGGUCUGAAAAGUCAUUGAAUCUAACAACAAAGUCGCUAGGUUUGCAACUACGUGUCCCAGACUGCAUCCCUGCUGAGAGUCCCUCCCUCCCUUCUCAUGUUGCAGGAAGAACGUAAGCGCCCGCCCCUUGUCAAUCAGUCACCAUAUAAUUUUGGAUUGGUUGUUGUGGUGAAGUUUUCCACCAAUAGGAGAGAUGUUGUGGUGUGUUUUUUUUUUUCUUUUGGCAAGCCUUUUCCGCCUGUAAGACCUGUCACUAAUGUCUGCAUGCUAUGUUUUCCUGUCUCAUACAGCGCGAUCGAGCGCCGAACGUGAUCAAAAUAAGCAGAAAAAAAGUAUCGCGGACAUAAUUUAUCAUAACUCUGGUUUUAUUUGGCCUAUCAACACAAUUUAAAAACUGGCUCGGGCCCGCCAGUGCCCCAACGGGGUCCUAGUUAGGGCCCGAGCGUAGCUGCUAAGCAGCUGCGAGAGCCCUCUUGUUCCUGAUGGAUUCUUCUUUAGGGCCCGAGCGUAGCUGCUAAGCAGCUGCGAGAGCCCUAUUAUUCCCCAAGUGGUUUUUCUUUGUUUCUUUCUUUCUUCUUUUUCCUCCCCUUUGAACUGGAAAAUGGCCCACUUCCCACUGGCGAAAACUCAUGAAAUUUGGCAGGAUGACCGGGCCUGGUGAAAAAUUUGAUAUUCCGAAGUCGCCCAAACAAGAAAAUGCAAAAUGGCUCCAUAGCGCCCCCUAAGGUGAAAAUUCACACUAUUGACUGUCACGCCUUUACGCUUUGUCAUAUUGACACAAAAAUUGACACACACAUGUAUCUCAAUAAGAUCUACAAAAAAGUCAGUGCGGGCGUAUCUGUCAAAUGUACGGUUAAAGGGUUAUUCCGCAUUUUUUGCCGAUCCGCACACAUUGGAAUUUCGCUAACUCCUCCGAAGGCUUUCGUUCCACCGGCACCACAUUUGCUCAGGCCAAUCUACACCCCAUGGCCAUUAAAAGUUAUUCAAAUCAUGACGCUGCACCCCACGGUUUAGGUUCUAGGGGGCGCCAAAGACAACCCUAAAAUCCACAUAUUUAAAAGUCUUAUAACUUUUUAUUUUUGUCCUCACUGGCCUCCAAGUUUUCUAGGAUGAUGCAAUGUCCAGCCAUCAACACAUUUGUGAAGGAAUUUUUACUCCCCAAAAGAGCGCCCCCCCAUGGCAGGAGAAAAAAGUCCAUUUUUUCUUGUCCCAUAAGGUGAAAAAACACAUUGUUGACUGUCAUACCUGUACGCUUUGUCAUAUUGACACAAAAUUUGACAAUCACAUGUAUCUCAAUAAGAUCUACGAAAAAGUCAAUGCGCGCGUAUCUGUAAAAUGUACGGUUAAAGGGCUAUUUUGCAUUUUUUGCCGAUUUGCACACAUUGGAAUUUCGCUAACUCCUCCGAAGGCUUUCGUUCCACCGGCACCACAUUUGCUCAGGCCAAUCUACACCCCGUGGCCAUUCAAAGUUAUCAAAAUCAUGACGCUGCACCCCACGGUUUACGUUCUAGGGGGCGCCAAAGAUGACCCAAAUAUCCACAUUCUUAAAAGAAUCCACAUUCCCCCCCCCCCCCCCCAUCCCCCAACCCCCAUGGCAUGGUUGUGCCCUCACUCAUGGUCCAGUCCUUUUCAAAUAGGACAUGUAGUUUGUCUGCGGCGAGCGUUUUGGUAGAAACUGCGCCUCCCAUUCAUUAUAAUUGUAAAUGACCACAGACAAGUGCGCACACCAUCUUUGGACCUUGAGUGUGACGCGAUCGGUAGGGAGAGGCGGUCGUGUUGGGGGCGGCGCGACACUGCUCGGGCCCGCCAGUGCCCCAACGGGGCCCUAGUCUUCUUCUUAUUAUUUUUCUGCCCCUUUGAACUGGAAAAUGGCCCACUUCCCACUGGUGAAAAGUCAUGAAAUUUGGCAGGACGACCGGGCCUGGUGAAAAAUUCGAUAUUCUGAAGUCGCCCAAAAAAUCAAAUGCAAAAUGGCUCCAUAGCGCCCCCUAAGGUGAAAAAUUCACAUGAUUGAGUGUCACGCCUGUACGCUUUGUCAAAAUGACACAAAAUUUGACACACAGGUGUAUCUCAAUAAGAUCUACAAAAAAGUCAGUGUGGGCGUAUCUGUCAAAUGUACGGUUAAAGGGCUAUUUCGCAUUUUUUGCCGAUCCGCACACAUUGGAAUUUCGCUAACUCCUCCGAAGGCUUUCGUUCCACCGGCACCAAAUUUGCUCAGGCCAAUCUACACCCCAUGGCCAUUAAAAGUUGUAAAAAUCAUGACGCUGCACCCCACGGUUUACGUUUUAGGGGGCGCCAAAGAUAACCCAAAAAUCCACAUUCUUAAAAGUCGUAUAACUUUUUAUUUUUGUCCUCACUGGCCUCCAAGUUUUCUAGGAUGAUGCAAUGUCUAGCCAUCAACACAUUUGUGAAGGAAUUUUUACUCCCCAAAAGAGCGCCCCCCCAUGGCAGGAGAAAAAAGUCCAGUUUUUCUUCCCCCCUAAGGUGAAAAUUCACAUUAUUGAGUGUCACGCCUGUAUGCUUUGUCAUAUUGAAACAAACUUUAACAAUCACGUGUUUCUCAAUAAGAUCUACGAAAUAGUCAAUGGGCGCGUAUCUGUAAAAUGUACGGUUAAAGGGCUAUUUCGCAUUUUUGGUCGAUUCGCACACAUUGGAAUGUGGCUAACUCCUCCUAAAGCUUUCGUUCCACUGACACCAAAUUUACUCAGGCCAAUCUACACCCCAUGGCCAUUCAAAGUUGUAAAAAUCAUGACGCUGCACCCCACGGUUUAUGUUCUAGGGGGCGCCAAAGAUAACCCAAAAAUCCACAUUCUUAAAUGUCUUAUAACUUUUUAUUUUUGUCCUCACUGGCCUCCAAGUUUUCUAGGAUGAUGCAAUGUCUAGCCAUCAACACAUUUGUGAAGGAAUUUUUACUCCCUAAAAGAGCGCCCCCCAUGGCAGGAGAAAAAGUCAAGUUUUUCCUGCCCAUCGCUCAAUGACUCAAACACAUCACUCUCUCGGCAAAACCGAAAGGAGGAGCAACUUGCCAUUUGGAUAUAUCCCAGCUGUGUUUGUGCCCUCACUCAUGGUCCAGUCCUUUUCAAAUAGGACAUGUAGUUUGUCUGCGGCGAGCGUUUUGGUAGAAACUGCGCCUCCCAUUCAUUAUAAUUGUAAAUGACCACAGACAAGUGGGCACACCAUCUUUGGACCUUGAGUGUGACGCGAUCGGUAGGGAGAGGCGGUCGUGUUGGGGGUGGCGCGACACGGCUCGGGCCCGCCAGUGCCCCAACGGGGCCCUAGUUUGUUAUUAUUAUUAUUUUUCCUCCGCUUUAAACUGGAAAAUGGCCCACUUCCCACUGGCGAAAACUCAUGAAAUUUGGCAGGACGACCGGGCCUGGUGAAAAAUUCGAUAUUCUGAAGUCGCC